rnacentral:lncRNA from 1 species
GAGUUGGGGGUGUACUUAGAGAUGAGUUGGUACUCUUAUCACAUGGACAAGUAGUCCUAAGGGGCAAAGGUUGCCCUAGAGAACAAAAUCAAGUGUCAGAGUAACACUUGUGAAAAUAGUCCUUGUGAAUAGGAUGUGAAUGCAAGAAGUGUAUUCCAGUGAGCAAGUGCCUCACAAGUAGGACCUUACGGGUCUGUGGAUUAACCAAGUCCAAAACUGCUGGAUGACUCAAGUAGAGUCAAGGAAUGGUCCUAAAGGACUGAUGGAAGCAUUUGGACUGAGGUGUGUAGUACCCCACGAAGGAUGGGGGGGAUCAUAGGAUCCAAGGAUGAGAACAGAGGGUAUUUCAUCGAUGGCAAAAUGUGCUAUGCUAAAGUCGUGGGAAGGGUGUUCCCAAAAGAAAACAACUUUGAAACAAAGUUGUGUAUGAUGUAAGCGACUAAAUUUUCCAUUCUACUUUAGUCACUUAACCACACUUCCAACCACUUGGAGGAGUCUCAUUCACCACCUCCAUAAGUCCAAUCCAGGACUUGGGACUUGCUAGCCCCGAGAAUGGCAUCCAUGCCACUCAACAUUUGCACUUGGUCCAAGUGCUCCACGUGUCCGAUCCCAUGACCGACACUCAAAGGUACCACCGACAUAGCAGCCCGUUACGCUAAGGCCAUGCCCAAUCACCUUUGCCACACUGGUAGUCCAAUACCACUUGCAUCACAGUCUUGGCUCCCCAAGACUAGGCAAACCAUCCGUGAGUGGUCAUCUCAGAUCCACUCCUUAGCAUCCUUAGGAUGCCCACCGACAAGGGGAAUAGCCUUCCCCAAUAUCCCUCUGUCAGUCCCCACUAAGUCCCUUUCUGCCCCUGGCCGUGUUUGCCAACACUGCCACUGGACCGAGACCCACAGGCCCGACCACUAAGUCCCACGGUCCUCUGGGACUUCCUCACCACACGACUGUGUCCUUGGUCACUACCCCAGAGGACUGCUCCUCUUCCUUUCCACAGUCUGGGCCUUUGGGACAACAUUUCGGAACACCGUGGCCUUACGCGAGCCACCUGGGUACUCUCCCCGCCUUUCGCCUUUAGGUGCUCUAGCCAUGGGCUUAGAGCGGGUUCCGUUGAGCCACACCAGGUAUCCAAGUAGGUAGUGCCACCCACACUUGGAUUGGGAGCAUCGGCCAGUCGAUCUCCCGGGGGAACUAGAGCCGGCUCUUGAACACUUCACCAAGCUACCCCGCUUGUCGGUCUGUGUUCACUCUAGUCUUGGACUUCCCAGUGGGCAGCUCAUCACCCAACACUGGGUCCGGCCUUCCUGGGCCAAACUGGCCUUUCCUGGCCAAACUGGCUCCACUGCAGUCCUCCCCCUACUAUACUUUUGGGGCUCACCAAACCCCCCAGGGUCUGGGAGACGAACGCUUUGGGCUUUCACCCUCUCAGGCUCCGGACUCGGACUCGGACUCGGACUCGGACUCGGACUCCGACUCGGACUCGGAUUCGGACUCGGGCUCGGGCUCGGUCUCGGCCUCGGCCUCGGUCUCGGUCUCGGUCCCGAUCUCGGUCUCGGUCUCGGUCUCGGUCCCGGUCUCGGUCCCGGUCUCGGUCUCGACUUCGGACUCCAUCUCGGACUCCAUCUCGGACUCCAUCUCGGACUCCAUCUCGGACUCCAUCUCGGGUCCAUCUCGGGUCCAUCUCGGACUCCAUCUCGGACUCCAUCUCGGGUCCAUCUCGGACUCCAUCUCGGACUCCAUUUUGGGUCCAUCUCGGGUCCACCUCGGACUCCAUCUCGGACUCCAUCUCGGACUCCAUCUCGGGUCCAUCUCGGACUCCACUUCAGACUCCAACUCGGGUCCAUCUCGGGUCCACCUCGGACUCCAUCUCGGACUCCAUCUCGGACUCCACUUCGGACUCCAACUCGAGUCCAUCUCGGACUCCACUUCGGACUCCAACUCGAGUCCAUCUCGGACUCCACUUCGGACUCCAACUCGAGUCCAUUUCGGACACUCCCACGUGUCAUGUGUUGGUCCUUUUGGGUCCCUUUUUGGAGCCUUGCCUUUUGCUCACUUUGUGCUCGUUCCUCGAGCACUUCGUUGGGAGUUCCACUCCCGCUCUUGACUUUUCAAGUCGGAGCUUUUGGUCCAAACGUGUUACGCUCUUUUGGCUCUCGCUUCGGCCACUACCAUGUGGCGCCCUUCCGGCUCCACUUUGGGGCCUAGGGAUUUUGUGUCUCACAACUCCACCACCCAUAGACGAAGUUCGAUGUCCUCAUCGAACGGUAAACCCUUUCAUAAAGUAACACCCACACGUGUUACUAUUUCCAUCCUUGGCACCUAGCCAAUCUUUGUCUAUGGUUUGACAUCAAAGGCUCACCAUGCCUUGUCCAUCCUUUAAGGAGUGUAGUCUCUCCAACUUAGAGACUGAUGGGACCACAUGUAAUGGUUCUCUCCUUUUAUUGGUUUAGUUCUCGCUAAACCUCUUAGAGACCCUUCUCUAAGUCAAUCCCACUACUCCUUCUCGAGUAGUCUCAAUUUCCAUCGAUAUAACCUUUGCACUUUGGAACUUUGAAUUUUGACUUCUUGGAGUCAAUUUCCUAGGUGUCUCCAACACCUUGCAUUGCACAGAUUGUGCGACUUCACUUCCCUAUCCUAGGAAGUUCAUUACUUGAGGGCACCAUCAUCCUCUCUUCUAUUUCGUGCCACCUUGGGCACUAAGUUCCAUUUAUCACACUUUGUGCUAGGGUUGUCCAUCGCCCUAUCAUUUGGCUACCUUACCGCUCCCUCCCUUGGAGCUUCCACUUUCGCCAAAUCGGAGCAAUUCGGAAUCCCUCCUUGGAAACACACUUCCUUUCCCGCAACUUAUUAGCGUCCAACACAUUAGUGUUCCUCGCCUAACUUUGUCACUUGGAUUCCUUCCAAGGGAUUCCACGGCCCUAUCUUGGCCACUCAUCUUUUGCUCCUAUCCGUUGAUUGUUGCACCAAGCAACAUCGAAUCUCUACCUCCCUCCUUGAGGUAUUGUUUCGGUUCCAUAGCAAAGACUCUUCUUUGCCAAGUCCGGAGGAUGUUCACCCCUAGUACGUCUCUUUAGCAUCUUCUGCUAUGGGCUCUAUCCACGGCCCAACUUCGUGACCCUCCCAUGGGUCUUUUAUAAAGACUACUUUCCUCGGACUCACUAUGCCAUCGCACGGACAUAGUUUAUUUCCCUUAGGUGCUCUUCCCACUUGGUUAUCACGACCAAGCCACACCACCUUAAACAGUUCAAUUUCAACAUUUGAACCAGGAACUUCAUUCCUUAGCCAACCAAGGACCUUGUCCUUUUCUGGCCAUAAGAUCACCUAGUGAUCUCACCUUGGCACAUUAACAGAGUUGCCAAGAGGUACUUGGUUUUCUAGACCUCCAAGUUGUUGACUAUAACCCCGGGGGCAUCCCCCACACUUGGCGGUGCACCCAAGCUAGCCCUUACGGCCAAGGGUUCAUAGCAACUGAGAUUAGGUGUCCCCAUCUCACUCACCACGACCUUGGUGCCACUUGCACCAAAGUGUUCAAGUUAGAUAUGCUGAGCUUUCACACUAAGCAAUCUAACCGUGCAUCACGACUCCGAGGCAUCCCUCGCUUGGCGGUGUGCCCAAACCAGUCUCCCCACUGAGAGUCCAUGACCACCGAAAUAUGAGUGUCCUCAUAUUCCAAACCAUCACCACGCCCUAGUGAUUUGGGACUCGAACCCAAGCACUAGAGGGUCGGGACUCGAACCCAACCUCCGUAUAUGCAUCUACGGACGGCAUCACACUAGAUGCCUGGCGUGACUCCCCACGCCGGUGCACCAACUUAUUUUUUAAAGCGCGCUACAGAUCACAGCUUAGGAACCUAGUUCCUCCACACUGCCAAGUCCUCUCCCUUGACAGGUCUGUGAUCAUGCAUGGACUCCUCCAUGCUCGGCCCCAUGGCCCACCCUUUUUGGAGUUAUCACCUUCAACUAGGGUAUUUGUUCCCCCGACGUUCCAAUCUCACUUGGCAAGUCCUCCGACCAUUGUAACAUGGUUCCUGCAUAAGCGUGAAAGUCCUUGACCAUUAACUUUCGUUCAAAGCCCUCUCUUUGAACACUCGGGAACUACUUCCCUAACCUUGAUAACCUUGCCUCAUGGCAAGCUUCAAGACCACGCUUCUGCUGCGCCACCCUGAUUUCACGCGUUCCAUGAACCAUUUACACUUGGCCUUUCUAGGUACUACGCUACCUAGAAUCGUCUUUGGGAACCUUGAAGGAACUCUGUCCCUCAGCUUGCUAAGGCCUCCCCUUUCGCAAGCUUUAUAGUUGCCAUAUAGUCUAACAUGGACAAUUCCAUAUUUUAGACUCUCCAUGGCAUCACGGUUGCUAGCAACAACAUCCUCGAGCACCCUCUUGAUUCUCCACUCCCAACUUUCAUAACCACUGUUGGAUAUGCCCUUUGAUUUCUAUGGUUCAAUUCCAUCCCAAUACUACUUGCUUUUGGCUUCACACCUUUCCUUCGGUCAUUCUCCUCCAGACCAGGAGGAUAGCUUUGCACUUUCUAUCAUGCUUUAGCAAGUAUUCUUAGGGAUGGACCUACCCAAUAGCCUAGGGAGUGGUUCCUCAAUCCGGGUAUGCUCACCUUAUAAUCCCACACACUGGGAUUACAUUGUUGCUUAUGGGCCUUUACAUGCCCAUCAUUAGCCUUGCCAAAAUUCCAUUUUUGGCUUUGUCCAAUUCGGGUAGACAGUCCUCUCCUGUCUCCGCAACCUUGGACAUUUGGAUAGCACCUUCUAUCCAUCAUUCGCUAGGGACUUAGUCCCUUGGGCUUUAUCCAUUGCCCUCGCGACAUCAAACACCACCUUCUGGUGUUCUAGAGUGUCCGGAUGUCCCAAUGAUGGCUUUCUUGACAAUGAGUAUUUCCUUUUAUGACAUUGACUUACUAUAUCGCAACACAAGCAACUUAUCCCCCGUAAGGGUAUAUCCAACUUCCUUAUGCUAUUAAGAAGUCUUGGGUAGCUACCUUCUACCCGUUUAACCAGUUAUUUUGCACCUCUUGCUUAGUUGCCUCAUAGUUGUCAAGUCCUACAACUCAUUGCUUGGUGCUUUCACACCUCCAUCAUUAUCUGGGUCACCACACUCCAACUGCAUGCUCUGCAACUUAGGCUAUGCUAUUCCCAUUUCCAUUGGGAUUCCUUUGGCAAGGGGUUCUCAUGAACCCACCAACAUAGCCUCAAAGUAUCACACCUUGGCACAUUUGGUGUCUCCACACCAUUGGCUCCACGAGCCUACCUCUAUGACAUUUCCCCUUCGUGUCUAAGUCUUUACCAAGACCAACACCGCUCUUUCUCAUGCCAACCAUCCGUUAGCACUGCACCAUAGAGGUCACACACAACUUUAUGUCAAAGUUGUUUUCUUCUGGGAACACCUUUCCCAUAACUUUAGCAUGGCACAUUUUGCCAUUGAUGAGAUACCCUCUGUUCUCAUCCUUGGAUCCUAUGAUUCCCCCCCAUCCUUUAUGGGGUACAACACACCUCAGUCCAAAUGCUUCCAUCAGUCCUUUUAGGACCAUCCGUUGACUCUACUUGAGUCAUCCAGCAGUUUUGGACUUGGUUAAUCCAUAGACCCGUAAGGUCCUACUUGUGAGGUACUAGCUCACUGGAAUACACUUCUUGCAUUCCUGUCCUACUCAAAAGGACUAUUUUCACAAGUGUUACUCCGACACUUGAUUUUGUUCUCUAGGGGUAACCUUUGCCCCUUAGGACUACUUGUCCAUGUGAUGAGAACACCAACUCAUCCACUUAAUACACCCCCAACUCCUGGGGUUGUUCCAGCAUUUAUUAGAGGUAGCCCCGGCUACCUUUUCAAGGACUUGAGUCCUCUUCCAUAUUUGACCUCCCACGGUCAUUACUUCUGGUCUCACAUUCAUGAGCACCAACCUCAACUAUAUGAGGAAAAUCUUGUGACUCCUUUAUUGCUUUGGAGUCUUUAUCUUUCCCGUGAUCCCAAUUGUAGUUGUUUACCACAACUACAUUAGCCAGUUUGCUAAGUCAAACGCUCAUCUGGAUCACAUCCUCAACUCCUUUGAGGAAAACCAUAUAUUGUUCCCAAGAUCCCAAAGUCGUUCCAUUAUUGGCCCUUUUCUAUCUACCACCUCGUCUACAAGUUCACACACGAACUAUAAUGGAGAGCCAUGUCUUCCCGACUUGCUACUCCUCAAGGAUAGGCCCACUCCUCGGACCUUUCGAUGCCAACACUAGUGGUGAUAUACUUGAGCACCAAUAAAAGUCGGACUAAGGAACAGCUCCGAUACCAAGUUGUAAGCGACUAAAUUUUCCAUUCUACUUUAGUCACUUAACCACACUUCCAACCACUUGGAGGAGUCUCAUUCACCACCUCCAUAAGUCCAAUCCAGGACUUGGGACUUGCUAGCCCCGAGAAUGGCAUCCAUGCCACUCAACAUUUGCACUUGGUCCAAGUGCUCCACGUGUCCGAUCCCAUGACCGACACUCAAAGGUACCACCGACAUAGCAGCCCGUUACGCUAAGGCCAUGCCCAAUCACCUUUGCCACACUGGUAGUCCAAUACCACUUGCAUCACAGUCUUGGCUCCCCAAGACUAGGCAAACCAUCCGUGAGUGGUCAUCUCAGAUCCACUCCUUAGCAUCCUUAGGAUGCCCACCGACAAGGGGAAUAGCCUUCCCCAAUAUCCCUCUGUCAGUCCCCACUAAGUCCCUUUCUGCCCCUGGCCGUGUUUGCCAACACUGCCACUGGACCGAGACCCACAGGCCCGACCACUAAGUCCCACGGUCCUCUGGGACUUCCUCACCACACGACUGUGUCCUUGGUCACUACCCCAGAGGACUGCUCCUCUUCCUUUCCACAGUCUGGGCCUUUGGGACAACAUUUCGGAACACCGUGGCCUUACGCGAGCCACCUGGGUACUCUCCUCGCCUUCUGCCCUUGGGUGCUCUAGCCAUGGGCUUAGAGCGGGUUCCGUUGAGCCACACCAGGUAUCCAAGUAGGUAGUGCCACCCACACUUGGAUUGGGAGCAUCGGCCAGUCGAUCUCCCGGGGGAACUAGAGCCGGCUCUUGAACACUUCACCAAGCUACCCCGCUUGUCGGUCUGUGUUCACUCUAGUCUUGGACUUCCCAGUGGGCAGCUCAUCACCCAACACUGGGUCCGGCCUUCCUGGGCCAAACUGGCCUUUCCUGGCCAAACUGGCUCCACUGCAGUCCUCCCCCUACUAUACUUUUGGGGCUCACCAAACCCCCCAGGGUCUGGGAGACGAACGCUUUGGGCUUUCACCCUCUCAGGCUCCGGACUCGGACUCGGACUCGGACUCGGACUCGGACUCCGACUCGGACUCGGAUUCGGACUCGGGCUCGGGCUCGGUCUCGGCCUCGGCCUCGGUCUCGGUCUCGGUCCCGAUCUCGGUCUCGGUCUCGGUCUCGGUCCCGGUCUCGGUCCCGGUCUCGGUCUCGACUUCGGACUCCAUCUCGGACUCCAUCUCGGACUCCAUCUCGGACUCCAUCUCGGACUCCAUCUCGGGUCCAUCUCGGGUCCAUCUCGGACUCCAUCUCGGACUCCAUCUCGGGUCCAUCUCGGACUCCAUCUCGGACUCCAUUUUGGGUCCAUCUCGGGUCCACCUCGGACUCCAUCUCGGACUCCAUCUCGGACUCCAUCUCGGGUCCAUCUCGGACUCCACUUCAGACUCCAACUCGGGUCCAUCUCGGGUCCACCUCGGACUCCAUCUCGGACUCCAUCUCGGACUCCACUUCGGACUCCAACUCGAGUCCAUCUCGGACUCCACUUCGGACUCCAACUCGAGUCCAUCUCGGACUCCACUUCGGACUCCAACUCGAGUCCAUUUCGGACACUCCCACGUGUCAUGUGUUGGUCCUUUUGGGUCCCUUUUUGGAGCCUUGCCUUUUGCUCACUUUGUGCUCGUUCCUCGAGCACUUCGUUGGGAGUUCCACUCCCGCUCUUGACUUUUCAAGUCGGAGCUUUUGGUCCAAACGUGUUACGCUCUUUUGGCUCUCGCUUCGGCCACUACCAUGUGGCGCCCUUCCGGCUCCACUUUGGGGCCUAGGGAUUUUGUGUCUCACAUAUGACCUCUAUGGUGCAGUACUAACGGAUGGUUGGCACAAGAAAGAGUGGUAUUGGUCUUGGCAAAGACUUAGACACAAAGAAGAAGUGUCAUAGAGGUAGGCUCCUGGAGCCGAUGGUGUGGAGACACCAAAUGUGCCAAGGUGUGAUACCUUGAGGCUAUGUUGGUGGGUUCAUAAGAACCCCUUGCCAAAGGAAUCCCAAUGGAAAUGGGAAUGGCAUAUCCUAAGUUGCAGAGCAUGCAGUUGGAGUGUGGUGACCCAGAUAAUGAUGGAGGUGUGGAAGCACCAGCAAUGAGUUGUAGGACUUGACAACUAUGAGGCAACUAGGCAAGAGGUGCAAAAUAACUGGUUAAACGGGUAGAAGGUAGCUACCCAAGACUUCUUAAUAGCAUAGGGAAGUUGGAUAUACCCUUACGGGGGAUAAGUUGCUUGUGUUGCGAUAUAGUAAGUCAAUGUCAUAAAAGGAAAUACUCAUUGUCAAGAAAGCCAUCAUUGGGACACCCGAACACUCUAGAACACCAGAAGGUGGUGUUUGAUGUCGCGAGGGCAAUGGAUAAAGCCCAAGGGACUAAGUCCCUAGCGAAUGAUGGAUAGAAGGUGCUAUCCCAAAUGUCCAAGGUGGCAGAGACAAGAGAAGACUGUCUACUCGAACUGGACAAAGCCAAAAAUAGAAUUUUGGCAAGGCUAGCGAUGGGCAUGUAAAGGCUCAUAAGCAACAACGUAAUCUCGGUGUGUGGGAUUAUAGGGUGAGCAUACCUGGAUUGAGGAACCACUCCCUAGGCUAUCGGGUAGGUUCAUCCCUAAGAAUACUUGCUAAGGCAUGAUAGAAAGUGCAAAGCUAUCCUCCUAGUCUGGAGGAGAAUGACCAAAGGAAAGGUGUGAAGCCAAAAGCAAGAAGUAAAGGGGUAGAACCGAACCAUAGGAAUCGAAGGGCAUAACCAAGGUUGGUUAUGCCAGCUGGGAGUGGAGAAUCAAGUGGGGGCUUGAGGGUGUUGCCGUUAGCAACCGUGAUGCCAUGGAGAGUCUAAAAUAUGGAAUUGUCCAUGUUAAACUAUAUGGUAAUUGGAAAGCUUGCAAAAAGGGAGGCCUUAGCAAGUUAAAGGACAGAGUUCCUUCAAGGUUCCCAAAGAUGAUUCUAGGUAACUUAGUACUUAGAGAGGCCAAGUGUAAAUGGUUCAUGAAACGUGCGAAAUCAGAGUGGCGCAGCAGAAGCGUGGUCUUGAAGCUUGCCAUGAGGCAAGGCUAUCAAGGUUAGGGAAGUAGUUCCCGAGUGUUCAAAGAGAGGGCUUUUAAUGAAAGUCGAUGAUCAAGGGCUUUCACGCUUGUGCAGGAACCAUGUUACAGUGGUCAGAGGGCUUGCCAAAGUGAGAUUGGCAAGUCAGGGGAACAAAUACCCUAGUUGAAGGUGAUAACUUCAAAAGGGGUGGGCCAUGGGGCCAAGCAUGGAGGAGUCAAUGCAUGAUCACCAACUUGUCAAGUGAGAGGACUUGGCAGUGUGGAGGAACUAGGUUCCUAAGCUGUGAUCUGUAGCGCGCUUUGAGUAUAAGUUGGUGCACCGGCGUGGGGAGUCACGCCAGGCAUCUUGUGUGAUGCCGUCCGUAGAUGCAUAUACGGAGGUUGGGUUCGAGUCCCGACCCUCUAGUGCUUGGGUUCGAGUCCCAAAUCACUAGGGCGUGGUGAUGGUUUGGAAUAUGAGGACACUCAUAUUUCGGUGGUCAUGGACUCUCAGUGGGGAGACUGGUUUGGGCACACCGCCAAGCAAGGGAUGCCUCGGAGUCGUGAUGCAUGGUUAGAUUGCUUAGUGUGAAAGCUCGGCAUAUCUAACUUGAACACUUUGGUGCAAGUGGCACCAAGGACGUGGUGAGUGAGAUGGGGACACCUAAUCUCAGUUGCUAUGGACCCUUGGCCGGAAGGGCUAGCUUGGGCGCACCGCCAAGUGUGGGGGUCGUAGUUAACAAGUUAAAGGUCUGGAAGACCUAGUAUCUAUUGGCAAACUUGUUAAGGUGCCGAGGUGAAAUCACUAGGUGAUCUUGUGGCUAAAUAAGGACAAGGUCCUUGUUUGGGUUAAGGAAUAAGGUUCCUAGUUCAAAGUGUUGAUUUGAACUAUUGAUGAUGGUGUGGCUUGGUCAAGGUGACCAAGUGGGAAAAGCACCUUAGGGAAAUGAGCUAUGUCAUUGCGAUGGCAUAGUGUGUCCAAGGAAAGUAGUCUCUAAAGAGACCCAUGAGAGGGUCACAAAGUUGGGCCGAGGAUAGAGCCCACAGCAAAAGAUGCUAAAAGAGACUUACUAGGGGUGAACACCCUAGUCUUGGCAAAGCAAAGCCUUUGCUAUGGGAUCAAAAGAACACCGCAAGGAGGGAGGUAGAGAUUCGAUGUUGCUUGGUGCAACAAUUAAUUGAUAGGAGCAAAAGAUGAGUGGCCAAGAUAGGGCCGUGGAAUUCCUUGGAAGGAAUCCAAGUGACAAAGUUAGGCGAGGAACACUAAUGUGUUGGACGCUAACAAAUUGCGGGAAAGGAAGUGUGUUUCCAAGGAUGGAUUCCGAAUUGCUCCGAUUUGGCGAAAGUGGAAGCUCUAAGGGAGGGAGCGGUAAGGUAGCCAAAUGAUAGGGCGAUGGACAACCCUAGCACAAAGUGUGAUAAAUGGAACUUAGUGCCCAAGGUGGCACGAAAUAGAAGAGAGGAUGAUGGUGCCCUCAAGUAAUGAACUUCCUAGGAUAGGGAAGUGGAGUUGCACAAUUUGUGCAAUGCAAGGUGUUGGAGACACCUAGGAAAUUGACUUCCAAAAGUCAAAAGAGUAGAAGAUCCAAGGUGCAAACAUUUAAUAGAUGGAAAUUGAGACUACUCGAGAAAGAGUAGUGGGAUUGACUUAGAGAAGGGUCUCUAAGAGGUUUAGCAAGAACUAAACCAAUAAAAGGAGAGAACCACUACAUGUGGUCCAAUCAGUCUCUAAGUUGGAGAGACUACCCUCCUUAGAGGAUAGGCAAGGCAUGGUGAGCCUUUGGUGUCAAAACCAUUGACGCAUAUGCAAAAGGCAUGGUGAGCCUUCAAUGUCAAACCAUUGACAAAUAUUGGCUAGGUGCCAAGGAUGGAAAUGGUAACACAUGCGAGUGUGACUUUACAAAAUGGUUUACCGUUCGAUGAGGACAUCGAACUUUGUCUAUGGGUGGUGGAGUUGUGAGACACAAAAUCCCUAGGCCCCAAAGUGGAGCCGGAAAGGGUGCCAUGUGGUAGUGGCUGAAGUGAGAGCCAAACGAGCGUAACACGUUUGGACCAAAAGCUCCGACUUGAAAAGUCAAGAGCGGGAGUGGAACUCCCAACGAAGUGCUCGAGGAACGAGCACGAAGCGAGCAAAAAGCGAGGCUCCAAAAAGGGACCCAAAAGGACCAACACAUGACACGUGGAAGUGUCCGAGAUGGACUCGAGUUGGAGUCCGAAGUGGAGUCCGAGAUGGACUCGAGUUGGAGUCCGAAGUGGAGUCCGAGAUGGACUCGAGUUGGAGUCCAAAGUGGAGUCCGAGAUGGACUCGAGUUGGAGUCCGAAAUGGAGUCCGAGAUGGACUCGAGUUGGAGUCCGAAGUGGAGUCCGAGAUGGAGUCCGAGGUGGACCCGAGAUGGAGCCAAAAUGGAGUCCGAGAUGGAGUCCGAGAUGGAGUCCGAGGUGGACCCGAGAUGGACCCGAAAUGGAGUCCGAGAUGGAGUCCGAGGUGGACCCGAGAUGGACCCGAGAUGGAGUCCGAGAUGGAGUCCGAGGUGGACCCGAGAUGGACCCGAAAUGGAGUCCGAGAUGGAGUCCGAGAUGGAGUCCGAGGUGGACCCGAGACGGACCCGAAAUGGAGUCCGAGAUGGACCCGAGAUGGAGUCCGAGAUGGACCCGAAAUGGAGUCCGAGAUGGACUCGAGAUGGAGUCUGAGAUGGACCCGAGAUGGAGUCCAAAGUCGAGACCGAGACCGGGACCGAGACCGAGACCGAGACCGAGACCGAGACCGAGACCGAGAUCGGGACCGAGAACGAGACCGAGGCCGAGGCCGAGGCCGAGGCCGAGACCGAGCCCGAGCCCGAGUCCGAGUCCGAGUCCGAGUCCGAGUCCGAGUCCGAGUCCGAGUCUGAGUCCAAGUUCGAGUUUGAGAGGGUGAAAGCCCAAAGCGUUCGUCUCCCAGACCCUGGGGGGUUUGGUGAGCUCCAAAAGUAUAGUAGGGGGAGGACUGCAAUGGAGCCAGUUUGGCCAGGAAAGGCCAGUUUGGCCCAGGAAGGCCAGACCCAGUGUUGGGUGAUGAGCUGCCCACUGGGAAGUCCAAGACUAGAGUGAACACAGACCGACAAGCGGGGUAGCUUGGUGAAGUGUUCAAGAGCCGGCUUUAGUUCCCCCGGGAGAUCGACUGGCCGAUGCUCCCAGUCCAAGUGUGGGUGGCACUACCUACUUGGAUACCUGGUGUGGCUCAACGGAACCCGCUCUAAGCCCAUGGCUAGAGCACCCAAGGGCAGAAGGCGAGGAGAGUACCCAGGUGGCUCGCGUAAGGCCACGGUGUUCCGAAAUGUUGUCCCAAAGGCCCAGACUGUGGAAAGGAAGAAGAGCAGUCCUCUGGGGUAGCGACCAAGGACACAGUCGUGUGGUGAGGAAGUCCCAAAGGACCGUGAGACUUAGUGGUCGGGCCUGUGGGUCUCGAUCCAGUGGCAGUGUUGGCAAACACGGCCAGGGGUAGAAAGGGACUUAGUGGGGACUGACAGAGGGAUAUUGGGGAAGGCUAUUCCCCUUGUCGGUGGGCAUCCUAAGGAUGCUAAGGAGUGGAUCUGAGAUGACCACUCACGGAUGGUUUGCCUAGUCUUGGAGAGCCAAGACGGUGAUGCAAGUGGUAUUGGACCACCAGUGUGGCAAAGGUGAUUGGGCAUGGCCUUAGCGUAACGGGCUGCUAUGUCGGUGGUACCUUUGAGUGUCGGUCAUGGGAUCGGACACGUGGAGCACUUGGACCAAGUGCAAGUGUUGAGUGGCAUGGAUGCCAUUCUCGGGGCUAGCAAGUCCCAAGUCCUGGAUUGGACUUAUGGAGGUUGUGAAUGAGACUCCUCCAAGUGGUCAGAGGUGUGGUUAAGUGACUAAAGUAGAAUGGAAAAUUUAGUCGCUUACAUUCAGCUGUAGACUCUGGUACAACUGGCUCAACAGUGGCAUGGGGUGGUUUCGAUGGCGUGUGAUCACACGCCAUUUCAGCUGGUGCCUCCGUUGGCAAAGUGGACAUGACCAAACAGGGAGCAGGGGCGGUGUAGGGAGGUUCCAAUGGCGCGUAGUCAGACGAUUGGGCACACGUUGAGUCCGUUGGAAAUGAGGAUACGACCGGCUCGGCGGCUGGGGCGGCCUCAUGCGGGUCCAAUGGUGCCUAGUCACCGUCAGUUGGAUACGUGGACAAGAUUGACUCAGUGGUAUGGGCAGCAUCAAGUGGAGCGUGGUCAGCUUGCUUGGCGUUGAUAUGGAUAGUAGCCUCCACCAGCUCUGAUGACUCUUGCAGGCAAGUAGAGUCCACUGGCGGAUCCAUAUGCAUGUCCAAAUAUCUCCCUUCGAUUGAGAUGGUAUCCUCCCUACUGGCUACUAAAAACAAACUCAUUAGCACAUUGAAUCGACUAUACUGUAUUUACCAUCAACUGCUAUUGAGGAACUAGGACCAAUAUCACUUGGGCACACUGCUGAUUCUGAAGGAUUGGACAUACGUUUCGACCCUUGCUUGGCACUAUCCUUCCUCGACACUAAAGGCUAGAGUUUGUAUCUUAAUUCAACUGAAUAAUCUCUACUUACCAUUUGCUCUGCAACCUACAUGGACAAUGUUAGAAAUGGUAAAAGGUUAGGAAUGGAUGUACUAUUAUUUACCUGAUGGUUUGUCUUGUAUGACCUUCCUCCGCUGCUCUUUAGCCACCUCAGGCUGGCCAUCGUUGUCAUCAUCGUCGUCGUCGUUAUUGUGAUCGUCACCAUUGUAAGGACCAUCCAAGUCCUCUUCGUCCUCCUCUUCUUCGUCCUCCUCUUCUUUGUCCUCCUCUUUGUCCUUCUGCUCUUCCUGCUCAUUAUCUUUCUCUGGCUCCUCAUCCCCCUCCUGCAUUUCUUCCAUAGGCUGCUUAGGCUGGAUGGCUUGUUCUUCCAGGACCAUCUUGGGAAAAUCAUCUGGCCGAGUCUUCAUCUCAAAAUACAAGACAUCCAUAGCCUGUUUUAGUGCGUGACCUAGGACCGUAUCCUCACCCGACUGUCUUAACAUGGUUUCUGCACGUUCUUGCACCCUUCGAAGACGACGAGAUGAGAAAAACGUGGCCCUGACUUGAAAAGCAUCCCUCAUCCAUUGUACCUCUCCAUUGAGAUUGGGGAAGGGGAGUCCGCCAUAGGAAUCUGAGUCAGGAGGUGGUGACUGGCUGCUUUCACUCAGCCCUUGAUUUGCAAUGAAUGGCAUGAGCACACACGCCAUAACCGCAAGGCAUUACCUAUCAUCUUUUCGUUGCCCUUCUUCCUUUUCGAAUCAAACGCCUCUGAUCCCGACGACUGUCCAAUGUGCUUUCGCUUUUUAUGACCACUGUCAGUUUGAGCUUGGCUGGUGCUUGCCUGUUUUGCCUUUGAAGAAGUGUCUCCUGCAAGGAAUGGCAUGAGACCAUACGCCAUUGCAAAUAUAAUUUGUACCUCCUUUUUUCCUAUUGCUUGUCUGUUUGUCCUUCUUCGACGCACCACCAGUGCACUUUUCAGUCCUCGUGUCUGAAUAUUCACAACGAUCUAUAAUCAAAAUGGCGUGAGGCCUUACGUGACCUUACCUUGUGCAGGUUGUGAGCUCGGCCCAACAUGGGUAUCUUCAACAGUAGCUGUUAACGCCGUUUCAGCAUCUGGGGGUGGCCACGCUCCUGCAUACAGAGCUUGUGAGAUAACAUAUAAACUUAAAGUGCAUACUUACCAGGUUCGCAGAGAAGAUACUGUUUUUCUUUGGCAACUGUAAUUAUUUGCUCCAUUGAAGUCACCUCUUGAAUGGAGUUUGUCACCGCAACACACGGGACACCCUUGAGUAGUGCGGCUCGAAAGAAUAGUCUGCCGCAGUUGUACUCGACAACGCAUUUGCCCUUGGAGUCGGAAGCAGGUGACCCACCCGCUAUUGCGUUGAAGACCCAGCUGAGCAUUUCCCAUGCUACACCUGGAGCUUUCUCUGGAUUCGAAAGCUCCAUAGCCGUCUUCAGUUCCUUAGGCACGGGUAAAUUGACCUCCCUCAGAUCAAUUCGAUCGGCCUUGUCGAACGAAGCUGGGAAGUCACUCCAGUCCCACUCUGCUACAGGACCAAUAACAAGGGCGAGUGUGAAGAUACAGACAUUCGUCGGUAUCUUCUUCUUAGCCAUUAUCCCAUGGAUCUCCCGCAUCUCCUUGCCUUUCAACCGAGCCUUCACCUCGUUCAAGGCCUUCCAGAACUUAUCAUAGGAUUCGGAGUUGUAGAUCAUAUAGUGGACUGAAGAUUCCACCUCCGCAAGUCCCACCAUUAAGUCAAUGAUGGAGUUGACUUCGUCUGCAUGAGUGAUCUCCUCGUUUGUGAAGUCCAUCACACAAAAGAUGUUCUUGACCUACUCAUCUCCGCGGGAAACGAUGCUCCUCCACCUUUGAUCCUCAUCCGAAUUCAUGUAUACCCGGUAAGGUUCUCGAUAGGCCUCUGCUGCGGGGUCGAGCUGUUUCUAAAGCCGGCGGUCGACAUCCCUCUUAAUGAAAUUUGGAUACUGAUCCAACUUCUUAGCUUUACUUUUCGUGGCAUCCCACAGCAGAUCGAUGAACUUGGGGGCCCCCUUCAUGUACUCGUUGAUGUCUUCAUUUGACAACUCCAGCUCUUCCAUCAUCUCUUGCGUGGUGUCGAUGCUCACCUCUCCACGGCCACUUGCUCGAAGAUCCAAUCCUUCAAUAGCGCACGAGCUCUCAGAGUCGUGCACAAGUCCUCGUAUGUCACAAUAUGGCCAGGAGUCAUUUUGGUCUUGUUGAAGACUACCUCACCACGUAGAAGAGCAUUAGCCACUGUCAGAAGGUCGUCGUCGUCUAGAGACCGCGAGAAACGCAAGGCAUUGAGCUUCAAAUCAUUGGGCUUCCGGCCGUCCUCCACACCCAUUGAGUUUAGCAACUCCCCGUCAUGGUACCUCCUCAGCACAUCUACCCAUUUGUCAAAAACAACUUUUGUCGCGAGUAGAAUGUUAUGGAUGCUAAGUGUGUCAUUGACCCCCAGUGUUUUCGAAAGAAGACUCGAGAAUUCCUGCAAUGGAAAUGGCGUGAGGCCACAUGCUAUGCCACAUGCAACGAGGCUUACCUGCCAGGCGCUAGUUGCUAGUGUACGUCCUUGUCCUAGUUUUUGUGGCUUCUUCAGUUGAACCCAGAGCUUCCAUGUUCGUGCCAAUGUCUCGUGCAGACCCGAUUUGUAGCACAUUUCUUGCUUGACAUUCUACGCGUGGGAGAUGUAUAUGAUAGAUCGGAGGGGCGAGUUGCCUUUUAUCAGGUGGACAACUCUUGUCUUGAAGACUUUCUUCACCUCCUCGCCCACCAUAAUAUCCACAACUAUCUCUUGCAUCGCCAAGCUAGAAUGCUACCCGGAGACGGCAUAGAACCGGAUGCUCUGAUCAUCCAACACCUUCCUAUUGAUCAAGUCUGGAAACCUCGUCUCGCCCUUCAUUGUUUGGUAGUAGGGGAUCACGUCUGCGAUGUCGGGUGUUACUGGACUUGCCAGCAUCUUCUGCUUCAGUUUCUCCACCCACUCAUCAGAUACUAGCCUGUGGUUGUAUUUGCUUUGGAUGUCGAUACGGCUCACGUCGAUUGUAUAUACUUUGUUGGAAUAGUAACAAGUACUAUUAUCUGUGACGAUUUUUGCUACCUCUUCUUGCUCUUUCUGCUCUUUGCGGCUCUUCUUUUUGGUGGGUGUAGUGUUCGAACCCGAGGCAAUGGCAUCACCGAGUAGCUUCUUUUUUGGAGCAGGAGAGUCGGACGUCGGCUUGAGAUUGACCACCCUUUUCUGCUUCGGGGUAGUUUCCAGAUCGACCCCCUUCCCCUUCGCUUCGCGAACUGGAGGCACUCUCAAUGGCUCAAUGUUGGAAUAUAGUUUUUGAACAUCACCGUAGGUGAGGUCCGUGGAUUCCAUGUGAUCUUCAUAGACCCGCAGCGUCUUUGAAAUUGUGGGCCUCCUGGACAACCUCUCCCUAGCUCCCUCUAGGAAUUCCUCAUAGCCGCUGCCCCCCUCCGGGAAGCCGCUAGGAUGUGCAAGGUGGAUCUUGAAGGCGGACACUGUCUCUACCACAAGUGCCAGUCCAUAUUCUUGCAUGGAACUGCAUGGAGUGUCUGUCACUUGGAUGAGGAUCCCCAUGCAUUCUUUUCUCCCACCAUCUGUGUUGUAUAGCUUCAGAUCCUCGCCUUCCAUCCCGAAAGUCCAACUGGUGAGCUCCUCCCCCUUCUCUGCAUCCACAUUGACAGUGGCUGGAAGAAGAACGCAAUUCCUCGCCUGUUCAGAAAUGCACAACAAUUAGAGUUGACAGAUGAAAAGCUAGGAGCUGGAAAUAACGUGAGUCCACACACCAUUCACCACUGCAUUAGAUGUCUUGAGGCUGCAUCCUAAGAUGGCGUGAGGCUACACGCCAUCUGUAACCGGACUGCACUCGAGAGCCCAAUCGGUGCAUGCCAAUGUUGCUACUAAAUGGCAUGUGGCCUCAUGCCAUUUUCUACUUGGCCUAAAAGACUUACCAUUUGAAGCCGAAUGGAGGCAUGACAAUCGAGGCCGGACUCACUGGCGAAUGUGCACUGUGUGUGCAGCGGAUCGUAGCAGCAAGGCUACUCUGCCACUUAUAGUUGGAGAGUGGCGCUAAAAUCUCCCGGGACGCCAAGUGGGCUGCGUGUGGGUGGCGGAGUGGGCGGCAGAGUUGGCAGCGAAGUUACAAACUGGAUGUGUCUUGAAGUGGACGCCGAUGCACACGAGCGCGAUGCGAGCGCGAGUGGACGCCGAUGCACACGAGAAACCUGUAGAGAAGGUAGAUGAGCGCGAAUGUGAGCGUGAUCGCGAGUGGGAGCGCGAUGCGAGCGCGAGUACGAAGCAAAAUGCAAAACCUAACCUCACACGCGCGAAAUGUCACGACGGUUGGUAAUCCCGCAACGUCAUCAUUCCUCGGACUUGGGCGCCACCAUUAAUUUCUGGAUCGCCGCGCGCAUGCAUGCACGUGAAAUCCAAAAGAAAUCCGCAACAUCAUCAUUCCUUGGACUGCAUGCACGCGAAAUCCAAAAGAAAGAUCAUGAUUGGGAUAUCAUUUAAUACCCUCGCUAUAUUUAUACCAUGCAUGAUUGGAUAUUCCAAAGCAUCUUGUAUUUCCAAAAAUGCCAGAUGUUCAGCUAAAUAAAGAAUGGUAUACAAUGUCCUUCUUGAUGACCCUGCAAAGAAGCAUCUCGAUCGGACACCACAUGAGACCACAUGAGCCUUACAAUGUUUCAGGGGCAUUUGCCAUAGAUCCGACUGUUAUUUUGCUCCAAGAUUCUACAGUUUGGUGUGCAUUGACCUUUCCAUCGACACUGCAAAGGGACAUCACAAUCAGAUGCGGGAUCACAAGAAACCAACUUCACUAACUCUGGUUUCACCAAGAUCUACGUAAGGAGUUAUGAAAUGAAAGGACCCUCUUUAUUGAAAUGUGUUUAUGGUCCUAGGGGCAUUGUGACAUAUCAAAGGAUUUUGCAUCAAGUUCUGUAUUUGCAUGUUUAUCAAGCUACUGAAUUGCUAAACCCUAAACCCUAAACCCUAAACAUGUGGCAAAUGCUGCGUGAAGAAAGAUGCCCUUUCUGGGCAAAUGCUGUAAGAGGCAGAUGCCGAGCAGAUGUAUCUCAAGCUAGCGAAGGGGACAAACGAAAGCUAGCUAUAAACAUGACGGGAUGCAAAUAGAUUACUAGGCUGGUCCUGCAAAAAUCAAAAACCAUAAUUGAAAACAUUGAAAAUGCAAAAAGAAAGGUUUAUAAUAUUUUUGAAUUUUAAGCAACCAAAGGAAUGUAAGUAGGGCAUGUGUUUGUAAGUUUAAAAAUGCCUCAACCACUUAAACUCCCAAGUAAAUAAAGCUGUUUCUAUUUUUGGUACAGGUAAACUUUAUAGCGUGUGGGCUCAUGCAAUUUUGAACCCAAAAAUGCACCAAAAAAUGCUCGACUAGCAUUAUUCUUUGAAUGGCAUGUGGCCUUAUAUUGCCAUAAAUGGACGUACACACACAGCAUAAUUAUUCCUUUACACGGCGAAUAAUCUUGGCGCGGAUCGCUGACAUGGCAUGGCAAAGUUCGAAUCACUGACAUGGCACAGCCGUACACACACAACAUAAUUAUUCCUUUACACGGCGAAUAAUCUUGGCACGGAUCGCUGACAUGGCAUGGCAAAGUUCGAAUCACUAACAUGGCACAGCUGGAUCGAGGCAAGGACAUGAUGUGACAAAGUUCAACGUCCGACAGCAAAGUCUAGAAGCUACUCAGUUUGAAAUUUGUCAGAGGAAUCAUAAGAUCUAGUUUGUCAGAGGAUUUGAUGUGACGUUCAAGCGUGUGUUAUUUUUGAAUUCUCGAACUCAUUCCUAGGUCUAUCAUUUUUGUGCGCCGUGUUCUUGGUUCCGCUGAGCGCAGUGAGCGCUGCUUGUGUAAGCGGCGUUGUGAGCUGUGGUUUAUGCGUCUACGAGCGGUUGCGGCAUUGCGAGCGCCAUUGCGAGCGGCAGUUUAUGCGAGUGGCAGUUUGUGCGAGCGGCGCUACGAGCAGUUGCGGUGUUGCGAGCGGCACUACGAGUAGUUGCGGUGUUGCGAGCGGCACUGUCUUUGGUGUGGCUACCGCUUCCUCUUGAUAUUCGGCACUUGUGCUUCCUGGUAUGUUCACCAUGGAAUGGCUUAGGACCACAUUUAGAAAUGGCAUGAGGCCACAUGCUAUCUUGGGCCCUUGCAAUUUCAUGGCUAGCGUAUUGUCAUGUAUGUUUUUACUUGCCUGCAGCUGUGUGUAUAUCAAGAUGGCAUGAGGGCUCAUGCCAAUUUUGUGAAUGCGAAAUUUCACGUGGGUGUCAAUAGCAUAUUUGAUUAAUGGCAUGUGGCCUCAUGCUAUUGAGGUUGUUUGGUAUGUUAUGAUUUAGGCCAUUCUCCAAUCAUUUUUUGUAUGGUCUUAACUUCUUUUCUGCACUUUCAGAAUGGCCUCCGCAAGUGCGACGCAUGUUCCCUCCGUGGAUCUUAAGAACCAUGCUUGGAUUCAGGCAAAGGUGUUUCUAAACAACCCCGAGGGGGAGGUGGUAGCUGAGGGCUUAGCCACAAUUGUCGAUCCAAGAGAUGCGGUUGCUAAUCAAAAAUUGGGCUGGGAUGAUAUUGGAGUUGCGAUUUUAGAGGUUGUUGACACAGAAGAAAACAGUCUGACUAUUGGAAGCAUUGUGCGGUGGAAAUUGAGGCACUUAGUGUUUGAGAAUGUGAAGGAUUCACAAUCAAACACCAUUACAACUUAUGACAGAACAUCUCUUCAUGGGAAAAGAAAGUACACGUUCCUAAAGUGCAGCCAAAGGGAUCUGAGCAACGAACCGAAAAGGCAGAAAAUGGCGAUGGAGGUUCGAAUGGUCUCGACAGUUGCUUGUUGCAAGAGGAGGUGCUGUCAACAUGCUGAUUGGGAUGCUAUUGAAGAGGAGAGAGCAAGAUACAAGACAUUGUCCUGGAAGGUAGCUCGCAAUUUUGUGUAUGAGGCAUUACGGUCAUCUGUUGAUGCUUCAGAACAUUAGGUGGGGGGCAUGGUCUUCCAGAGGGGUUUGGUCUGCAUGAAGGCAUGGAGAAUCAUUUAUGGAGUCCCUCGAACCACAUUCUAUAGAAUCAAAACUGAGUUCGAGGAACAAAGGGUUCAACAGGCAGUCCAUGGGAACGACGGUACUCACAAAACCAGGGGUCAUGUUGUAUAUGGAGAGGCAAUCUUCAAGAGGUUUGUCGAGACAUGUAGCGAGCAGCAACCAUAUAAAACCCGCCUCUUGGAAGAUGGAACUCAAGACACCCAACGAGUUCUCCCUUCCAUGUAUACCAAGGGGGCCAUAUUGGAAGAUGUGAAUCGGGAACUCCAGAGUAAUGGCUACAGGAAGCUGAGCCAAUCUAGAUUUAGUAGAUUGUGGAGCAACAGGUUCAGGGAUGUGAGUAUAGGAAAGUACUUCAGCUUUUCAAAGUGUUACGAGUGCACUGCUAUCAAAAUGGCUUUGUCGAAGAAUUCUUGCAGCGCUCAAGAGCGAGAGACGUUGGUUAGAAGGCGGCUCGACCACAACAUCGAGCAGAGAAGCUGCAGAACUGCAUAUUAUCAUAACAGGAUUCUCUCCAUGGAGAGACCUGACUCUUACCUCUGCAUCAUCCAUGACAAAAUGGACCAGAAAAAGACGUGUUUACCUUGACUCAAUCCUGCCCCCAAGGCAAUCUCUUCAUCCAUGCAGCUGCCUGUGUCUCUGUUUGGCAUAAUCGCUCAUGGGCAUGGUGCCCAGAACUAUGGGAACUUCUUUGUACCUCUAUGGGGUGGCGGGGGUGCAAACAUGAUGAUUGCGUCCCUAGCAAAACACUUAAGGUCUCUGCAAAGUGCGUAGACUGAGCUGAACGGCCAACCCUUGCAUAAGGCCCUUGUCGAUCGAACCCCAUACAGGGUUCAGCUGGAGGAGGAGCAAAGGCUUGCAGUAUCGCGUGGGGCCCCAUGCCAUCCCAGUGAAUAUGUUGGCCGUCAGAUUGUAGGGUUAUCACGUGAGGCCUCAUGCCAUUCCGACGAGGCUGGUUGCCCGGUGAAUGCACAGCCUCAUCCAAACGAAGCAGAAUCUCAAGGAAGUUCUUGCGGCCAAUGUGGCCUUCCACCCCAUCUUCUGCUCCAAACAGACAAUGCUGGCAGUGAGAACAAAAACAUGUACGUCUUCGCAUACUUGGCGAUGCUUGUUGCCAAAGGCAUAUUUGAAACGGUUACACUUGGCUUUCUCAUGGUUGGGCACACUCAUGAAGACGUCGAUGCCAUGUUCAGUCACCUAGCAGAGUCCCUCCGGCGAUCCAAUGUCCUCACCCUCCCACAACUCUACGAUGAAUUCCAAAAUUGCAUCAAAGGCACUGUUGAAGCUGCACUUGUGACAGAGGUUCCAAAAUUUAAGGGGUUUGUAAAAGGCUACAUCAGAGACGGAUCCGAAACGCUGAUUGGCCACUCCAAGCCUCUUCAGUUUCAUUUCAACAUGCGUGACGGUGCUCCAGUGAUGAGGUACAAGAUGAGAGAAUGUGACACAGUGUGGCUGCUAGUGGACGGCAUUGAACUCUUCAAGAGAGAUCCCAUAACUGGGGAACCUAUGAUUCCUCAGGGUUCCCCACGGCCGAUGCACCCGGAUGGACUCAAAGACCAGGAAAGUAUAGUGGCCGGGAUUAGACAGCAUAUUGCCUUCUGGAAGAGGGGGUUGGUGUUUGGUGGAGAAUUCUAUUUUCAGAGGUGCAAGCCUUUGCUCGAAUACUGGGAGAAGAUUAUAUCUGCUAUCCAAAAUGGGCCGGUUGUAUAUGAAGAAUUGGAAGAGUCCUUUUGGCCAGAACCCAGAGCACCAGAUAGUAGCGGAACAAUGUCCUCUGGAAAUGCAGUGACAGAUAAAGAUGUUGAGGAUCACUAUUGUGGGCCGAGGAACAAGAAGCCGGAUUCAGCAUUCAAUCCAGUACAGGUCUGCAAAGGAAUGGUCGUGCUUGUCAGACCCAGUAAUAAAAAACAAAUGAUAUGGGUGGGGCACUGCAUCACUGAUGUAGAGGAGGACGCGAAAACUAACUCCUUCAAUGUAACUAUGGAGUGGUUCAAGCCAAGUUCCGGAUAUACGAAGGAUUGCCUAGAAAAGAGAUGGGUGUUGAAUCCAAGGGAUCCCAGCAUGAGCAUAUCGGUGGAUAAUGUUGUGCAUGGUUGGAUGCGGAAGUAGAGUGCCACCAUCACCUUGCUAGACCAUACAAGAGAUGCAGCAAGAGCAUUCAUAACCCGGGUUCAAGGUGAGAUUCAUUAAUAUUCCUUUACUAAGUUUCUAAUGUAUUUUAUUUCAAGGUGAACAAUCCGAAUCUGAAUCAGAGGAGGCGUGAUGGCAUGUGGCCCUUUGCACUAGUAUAUCUUAAUACCGGUCUGAGAAAUAGAAUGGCAUGUGCCCUCAGGCCUUUUACUAAAUCACCUUUGAAAGAAAUGCAAGCCUCUAUGUCGUAAAAAAAAGGUACUAGAGAAAUUCCUUAAUAAUAUGAAUGUUAUUUAGUUUCAUGAAAAUACACUAAGGGUCAAAUGAGUUAAAUGACUUCUCCAGACUAGCAAUGCCUCUUGCUACACCUUCACAAUUAGAUUCGUUAGAAAAAGAUAACAUUGAAUAAUAUCUAAAUGUUCUCACCAUUAAGUUAUAUGUCUGGCUAAUAGGAAUGAUGUUCAUCUUGGAAAGCUCACCACACGCUCAAUGAACAAACAAAUAGUGUGUGCGCGCAUGCCAUCGCUCUUCUUUAGCUUCAGAUUCGUCUUGUUCACCUUGACAAUGAGAUUUAUUAUACAACCAGAUGGACUCAGUCUGGACACAAAGUCACCGCGCUAGUCACUAUGCCCCAGAUAUGUCUAGCCCCUGGACAAAAAACAUAUAAUUUCACAUCAUUUUCAAAUACUUGAAAAUUUGUCCCAAUUAAUCCCAUUUUACUGAAUAAAUCCCACUUUAACAAAAUAGAGCAUCAAUGAGGAUAUUGAUUUUCCUUAAGGGGGGAGAGUGUCAUAAAUGUGACUUUGGGUAUCGAAAGAUACUUAUCAGGCAAUCCUUACAAACACUCUCGCUUUACAAUGGUAGGAGGUCAGUAUUGUUAGUUCCCUUUAUUAGCCUCUUUUAGCAUCUAUACUUAGCUAGAUGAAUGUAAAGGAGGAACUUCUAUAUGUUUUUUGCUGAGCAUUCUCGGCUUGGCUUUUAGUUCUCUUUUACUUUGUCUUAUACUAGCUUGGCAAGAACCCUUGCAUAUUGAGUCUAGUCUCUUAAUAUUGCUAUAUGAUAGCUUAUUGUAUCCGCUAGACACCUUUGCUAUCAUGCCCCAUGUAUUAAUUUUAUACCAGAUCCAUAUGAUAUUUAUGGUAAGUGUCUAAAUCUGCUCAAGAAGCAUAUCUACAAAGUGUAGAGAGUGUUUUAAACCCCAUGGUGUUAUUUCCAUAUCCUAAUUCACAAUUUAGUGCUAUUUCAUAUUUAGUAAGUUUUCAUUAGUGUCCCAACUAGGGUGAAAACCUAAAUCAUGUGUUCCUCAAGGAAGGGUAGAGGGCAGCAGUGUAAUGCACGUGGUUUUCAUCUUUUAUUCUAUGAUGAUUUAUUAUAGGAUAACUAUGAAGUGGAACCUAGACCCUCAAUGUGCCAUGUGCCACGUGUUCAAAGGCAAUAGAGUAGAACUCAAGUUUUAGAGGUUUGGGUCACUGAAUGAAAAGACGGAGCCAAACUCCCAAACAUAAAACCUAGGAGUGAAGGAAGAAAAGCAUGGAAUGACUUUUGAGCGUACAGCCUAAGGAGUGAAGGGAUAGGGGCAUGAAGUGACUUGGAACAAUUUUAAAGCAUCUAACAUCCCAAUGCUAGGAUUAACAUUUUGUCACUAGCCAAUGCAAAACACAAUGAGACAAGAACUCCUUACCAAACUAAGUUUGCUUAGUUAAUAGCAUAUAGGAAUUUCUUCCUUAUGCUCAUCUAGUUUAAGUACAUAACUCCAUUAGCAUAAAAGGGACUAAUAAAGAAUCCAGUAAUAUCAACCUCUUGUUUUGUGAUAUAUAAUGCAUGUGCUUUUCACCCUUAGCCACCCUUAGUACUAAGAGUUAGUCUCUAGGACAAGCUUAAAACAUACCAAAUAUUCUAAAUAUUAAUAAUCCAAAUUAUUAAAUGCUAAAUAUUAAUAAUCCAAGACUCUACAUUGCGAAUUUAGAGAUCGGACCAACACCAUUGUGUUCAAGAUAAUCUCUACAUUUUGUAGAUAUACCAAAUUAGCAAGUCUAGACACUUUCCAUAAAUUGUAAUUGGGACUAGAUAGGACUAACAUAAAGGGGAUGAUAGCGAGGGUGUUUGGCAGACACGAUAAACUAUCAUCUAACAAUAUUAAGGGACUAAUCUCAAUAUGCAAGUUCUUAUCAUGCCAGUACAAGACAGAGCAGAAGAGAACUAAGAGCUAGGCCAAGUAUACUUAGUAAGAAACUGUAAGUGACUAAUUUUUCCAUUUUACUUUAGUCAUUUAAUCACACCUCCAACCACUUGAAAGAGGCUCACUCAGAACCUCCAUAAGUCUUAUUUUGGACUUAGGGACUUGCUAGCCCUGUGAAUGGCAUCUAUGCCAUUCAGCCUUUGCACUUGGUCCAAGUGCUCCACAUGUCCAAUCCCAUGACUGACACCCAAAGGUACCAUUGACAUAUCGGUCCAUUAUGUUAAAGCCAUGCCUAUUCACCUUUGUCACAUUAGUAAUCCAAGACCAUCUACAUCAUAAUCUUGUCUCUCAAACACUGGGCCAUCUAUCCAUGAGUGGUCAUCCCUUGACCACACCUUAGCACCCUUAGGAUGCCUCGAGACAUAAAAAACACCCUUACCCAAUGUCCCUUCUUCCAUCCCCACUAAAUCCCUCUCUAUCCACAGAUAUACUCGCCAACACUACCACCCCAAAGGCCUAACCAUUACAUCCCACUAACCUUUAGGAUUUCCUCACCAUGUGACCGUAUCCUUGGUCAUUAUAGCAGAGGAUUAUUCCUCUUCCUUUCCAUAGUUUGGGACUUUGAGAUGACAUUUUGAAACACUAUAGCCCUACACAAAUCUCAUGGGUACUCUCCCCACCUUUUGCCUUUAGGUAUCUUGUUUAUUUGUCUAUAUUCACUUUAGCCUUGGACUCCUCAAUAGAUAUAUCAUCACCCAACACGUGGAUAUAUGUAAGCUCUUGAAUUUGAACUUCCCGGGAGGUCAUCUAACCUAGUACUAUUCAAACCCAAGGACACUUUACCCCAAUUAUCCCAAGACCCUUAACCGAUUAGAAAAGGGGGUGCACUCUUGUUCAUGGGCCCUCGUGAGCAGAAGCUGAGAGUUGCAGCUCUCUCGAGAGCCCCGCUCUCUUGACACCCUACCUCUCGGGUCGAGCCCAGCGGAAGCAAACUGGACCUACUAGAUGUCAAUCAGCAUAUAGUGUGAUUCCCCUAGCCAACCAACAGAGUCGGACCCGAAACCUCUUUGAUACUAAAUGUAAGCUCCUGAAUUUGAACUUCCCGAGAGGUCACCCAACCCAGUACUAUUCAAACCCAAGGACGUUUAACCUCAAUAUCCCAAAACCCUUAACCGAUUGGAAAAGGGGGUGCACUCUUGUUCAUGGCCCUUGCCCUCUAUAUUUGAACCCCUAUGGAUCGUCUCUCAAGUCGUUCCCUUUGGUUGCUUAUAGUAUAACUUUCCUUGGUCACACUAGCCUUUUCUAGCUAAACUAACUCCACUAGAGUCCUCCCCCUACUAUACUUUUGAAGCUCACCAAACCCCCUAGGGUAUGGGAGGUGAACGCUUUGGGCUUUCACCCUCAGACUUAGACUUAGACUCAAACUCAGACUCGGUCUCAGUCUCUUUCUUGGCCUUGACCUCGGACUCUAUCUCAAGUCCAUCUCGGACUCGACAUCAGACUCCUGUAAGCUCCUAAGUUUGGACUUCUCGGGAGGUCACCCAGCCUAGUACUAUUCAAACCCGAGGACGCUUAACCCCAAAUAUCCCAAGACCCUUAACCGAUUGGAAAAGGAAGUGCACUCUUGUUCAUGGGCCCUUUCCCUCUAUAUUUAAACCCUAUGGACCGUCUCUCAAGUCGUUCUCUUUGGUUGCUUACAACUCCAUCUCGAACACUAUCUUGGGUCUAUCUUGGACUCCAUCUUGGGUCCAUCUCAGACUCUAUCUUGAGUCCAUCUCAAACUUCAUCUUGGGUCCAUCUCAAACUUGUUUGGACUAAAAGUUUUGACUUGGACAGUCAAGAGUGGGUGUGGAAUUCCUAAUGAAGUGCUUGAGGAAUGAGCAUGAAGCAAACAGUAAGUGAGUUUUUAGAAAAGGGACACAAGAAGACCAAUACAUAGCAUGUGGAAGUGUCGAGACAAAAUCUAAAAUGAAGUAUGAGAAGGAUUUUGAGAUGGACCUAAGAUGGAGUCCAAUAUAAACUUGUUAUGCUUGUUUGGCUGCCGCUUCAGCCAUUACCACGUGACACCCUUUCAGCUCCACUUUGGGGCUUAGGGAUUUGUGUCUCAUAGAAACACAUAGAAGUUCUUACCUUAUAUUCAUUUGACUAAGCUCAGUUUACUAAUACUUGAACAAAAGGGACUAAUAAAAGGUGUACUAAUAUUGAUCUUCUAUUGUCGUGGCAGUAAGGAAAGAAUAUCUGAAAGGACUAACCGAUAGGUAGUUUUUGAUACCCGCAGUCACAUUCACGACACUCUCCACCCCUUAGGGAAGAUCGACAUCCUCGUUAAUGCAUACUCUAGUCUAAAUCACUGCCAAGGAAACAACUUUAGAAAAAGUUUAUAGUAUUCACACUUUGUGAGAAAUGCACAAACUUAAAUGAGUUAGGGUAACCUUUUCAUUUAAUGCAAAUGUGCUACAACUCAGACACCUCCCAACCAUCGCUGAUAAGGAAAUGACCAACAAAGUUAGCCACCCUAGCUACUCUGGGUGUCACCUAGUUUACAAAAAUGUGAUAUACCCUUGCCUGCAAAGACAUAAAGAGAGAAGCUAAAGGCCCCAACCCUCAUGAGUAAAGAAACUAAAUCUAUUGGUAAAGUUUAGAUAGACUAUUGUAAAGGUAGUUAAAGUUGUUUACACUGUCACACUCUUUUAACAAAAUAAAAAAUAUUGACAAAGAGGUAGAUAAUGUGACCAGUUGAUAGUAACUACCCCAUGACUAAAGAUUUCACCAUGCAUACAAAAUGCCAAAGCUAAUCUACUUAUAUUGGCCCAAAGUCAAAGAUCAAUAAAUGGACAAUAUCAAAGUCAAAGACAAUGAUAUCUUAGAGAUUAAAUUAUCAGUGAAUAAAUCUUAGGUUAUAAUACAAAAGUAUUCCAAGUGAGUUACCAUAUGAUAAACUAGUAUUAUAGGAUAGGAACCAUCAAGAUCAUUAAAGGUUAAGGUUAUAGAAGUAACCAUCUAAUAAAAUUUAAUAGUAAAUAUAUCAUUAAAAAAAUGCAAUGAUAAAACUUAACUAUCAAAGAUUGUAGAUAGUAUGCCAAACAACUUAUGAAAGACAACUAAAAGAACAUAAAAUAUGAUCAAUUGCCAAAUAAAAUACUUGCAAAUGUAUCACGUGAAGGAAAUAAAAUUGAAUCUAUUAGAAGCAAUUGUAACAACAAUCAAUAGAACAGAAUAAAUAUUGCAAAGUAAAUAAACACUUAUUCAUGCCAACUAUCACACUAGCUAAUUUGAAUAGAUUCCAAUCAAUAAUACCAAGGAACCAGAGUUGCUCAAGCAAGUGUUAGUAACAUCCUAUUGAUAUUUUAAACCCAAAAGACCAAUCCAAAGCAAACCACAAAGAAUAUGUGAAAAACCAUAAUCCAUCAAAGAGAACAACUAACUAUAAAAAAAAAUCAUCAAUCAUUCUAUCAAUAAAGAGAUGCAUAAUCAUCAUCAAAGAAAUAAUCUACCAUUCUACAAAAUGGCAAAUCAUUCAAUACCAACAAUAAUCAAGAAAAACCUUUAACAAAGAUAAUCAAUUAUCCUAGAUGAUAGUUAAUCAUCACCAAUGAUUGUCAGAUGUAAAAUACUAACUUUAAUAUUAGCCUAAAAUGAAAUUAAUAAUAAAACUAAUGAGCCAAAUGCCUUCCCCAACAAUUUCUAAUAAAUAGACAAUGAACAUAAAACUCAAAGAACCAAAAGUUUUUAAAAGUUUAUAGCCAAGUCUUGCCUAAUAAUGAUCAUAAGUUUUAUAUAAACUAACAUUAGUGUCAAAAAGAAAUCACAGUACAACUCACAAUAUCCUCUUCAACACAUUCAAAAGUUAAACUUUAUAAUGCAAAAGCUAAUGAAAUGCAUAUCCACAUCAAUCCAAAAGCCAAACAUAAUGAAACUAUGCUCAACAAAUGAUCAUCAAAUUAUCCUUCAUGAAUUCAUCCUCUACAAUACGAUAUAACUCACUUCAUAACAAGCAUAAAAAGAAUUAUCAAUAAUUGAUAUAUCCUCAACUCAAAUUCAAUAAGGAACCAACAAUUUAAUAUCGAUCACUAACUCUUUCUUUGGUAAAGCUAAUAUAAUGCACAAUUAAAUCACUUUUCAAUGAAAAGCCAAAGCUCAACCCUUAUAAAACAAUCUCAUCUAGAACACAACUAACUCAAUUUGCUAUUUAUCUCGUUUGAAUGUCAAUAUAGUUGCUAAUUAGCAAAUGUAGAAUGUCAAUAACACAAAGCUAAAGCCAAAUUAUUAACAUUAUCACAUUGAUGCCUUGUUGUUAACAUUAUUGAUGUUGAGGUUUGUGUGAAAUGAGAUGUCUCUCUAUAGAAUUCAUAUUAAGUUUCAUUAGUCUCACUUCAAUGCCAUUAACACCAUAACAAAGCUAAAAAAAAGUAAGAGUCAAUCACCACUCAAACUCUUUAAUAACUAAACUAACCAAAGUCAAAAAUACCUUAGUCAAUAUCCAAGACUAAUUCUUCAAUAAUACUCAGUUAUAGAUAACAUAUUAUCAAGGAAUGAAUUACCAUAUCCAAGAUUUAAUAUAAUCCAACCCCACAAACUAAACACAACCAAAUAAUAUUGACAAAAAUGGAGUCAAUAUACCAACAUGGAAAAUCAUGAAAGCCCACGUGAUAAUCCUUUGCAACACUAUCCAAUAAAACAAGUUUAUCACUACUAAAUCAUCAUCAAGCAAAUCAAGUAUUACCAAUCCUUAUCAAAGUCUACAAACAAUCAUUAGUUACAAAGCAACUAAUAAUCAUUUGUCAACUUGCCUUUACAAGACCCAGACAUUAAACUUAUGUCAUCGUGUUAUAUAUUUGUCCAACAUGAAAGUAACACUCUAGGUACCAUAAAGGUUCAUAGACAAGCAUGGACUAAAUUUCCAACUCAACCACAAUAAGAUCAUUGACACGUUUAUCUAGUAGCUCUAAGCAUGCCUUGAAGAGGUUAGGUAUACAUGAUCAUCACUAAGUUGAAACUAAAGUAUAAACCAUAAGAUGGACUCAUAUGGUACAUAACCUCCUCACAGACAAAGCUAUAAUAUAGGUACCAAUACUUCAACUUCAAACAACUAAGUUGGAAUCAUUAACCUCAACCAAUGCCCAAGACUACCAAGACCAAGUUAGGAUCAGUAACAAUUCAUUACUCUCAUAGAGUAUAAUGAAAUGCAAAGUGCAAUCUACCACCAAACAUAAGGUUACAGAAGAAAGGCACAAAGGUCACCUUUCUAGAAAAGUGUAGUGACCACUGUUUUACACGAACUCCAAACUCUAUCCAACUCAAUGGUAUAGCCCCAAAAGUUAACAUCCCUUUUAAGUCACAUUAUACAAACUACCUACUAAGGUUUAAGCCAACCAAAGUCAACUCUAACCUUUUCAUUAGUUUGUAUUGGUUUUUGAAAACAAAAUGGUUUUUGAGCAAAAUAAUCAAUAAAUUAGCCAUUAGAAAGUCUAAGAAAAUUGUGGAAAAAUUUCCAACCUAAAUAAAGAAUGACUCUUAGUCUAAAAAUGCAAACUCUUAAAACUCAAUCAACUUCCUCUUAUCUACAACUUCACAUAAAUUCACCUUAAUAUAAAUUCUUAUGACUCAAUAGUAUGUGUAAACAUUGAACAUCAUGCCCAUUUUAUUUGACAUCGAACAUUGACAUCUGUAAAAUGUAAAAGGAACAUCCAAGACUCAAUUAUAAAGACCAUAUCUUUGGAUAUCCACAUUGCAUUAUCACUUUUCUUCAAUCAUUUUCAAACUUUAAUAUAAAGACAAAACACUAAAAAAAAAAUGACAUGGAAAAUCAAACUCUAAAGAAAGUUCUUCAUCACUCAACAUAACAAUGCCACCUCCACUAACAUAAGUGUUAACAAAGUUAAUACGUUAGCUACACAUCUUCUCCAUUUAAUAAUUUACUCCAAGUGCGAAUAGAUCAAGUAACAAGUUAUAGCAAAUGAAUGCUACAACCCUUUCUAACAAUUUAAUGGGCAAAUUCUCAAAAAACAAAGGUACCAAUUUAAGUUUAGCAUAAUGAAUCAUCAUUGAAAAUCUAAUUAAAUUUAUUACAAUGCUAUUACAUACAAAUAGAUUAGCUUCAUUAUCAACUACUUUAGGGUUGAUUAUCGUUUAACCAAACAACUUCGCAACACAUUGUUCACUAUCACAUAAAUAUGAUAUAAAAAUGAUAAUGACUUAACCAUAAAUUGAGUAACACCACAAGCAAUGCUUAUAUCACUACUACAAAGGUUUAUAUGAGUAUCAAGUGUCAACUCAAUUUGACAAAAUGCAAUAUAAAUGCCACACCCACAAAUAAAGAUUUCCAACACCUAACACCACUAACUUUUGUUCAUAAUACAGACAAACUCAUACCACUCUCUAUUCAACCAAACUCAAAGCUAAUUUAACACCAAGAUACUCAAAGAGCACUAGCAAAGUUCUAAAAGAAUUAAACAUUGUAACCAAGCCUUCAAUAGCAAACCUAAACAAAAUGGUUUAGCACUUUAUUGCUAUCCAUCCCACAACUUACCACUUGUAAGCCAACAUGUAUUAAGAUAGGGAUUCUUGAUUGCAUGAUGUGAACAUAAGCAAUGAGUUAAUGUCUCAUUGUAAAUCAUACAAUGAGCUAACACCUCAUUGUAAAUCAUAUCUCCAAGAAGAAAAAGUGAUUUAUGUAUUUGAUCUUUCGUCCUUGAUAACUUUUUUUUAAGCUUCAUCUUGAUUAAACCUCAAACUUGCAUUUGCACUAUAUUCAGUCCAAUCUAAGAAUAGUUUAUAAAAGAGCACGACAAUGAUUACUUGAACCAAAAGAUUAAUCCCUACAGUCUUGAUUGAUCUACUUAUAAUCAUGCCUAGGAAGAAUCCAUUAAUGCCAUGCUAAACAACUAUGGAUUAGUCUAUUUACCACUCAUAACAAACCCAAGAGAGGUUUACUUUUUCUCACAGUAACAUGGAACAACUUGUAGAACCACUGGAACAACUCAUGGAAUCACCAAUAAGCUAAUAUUAAUCUUGCCAACUUAAAGUGCAACUUUGAGUUGUUAAUGUGCCUCACUCAUGAGCCCAAGCACAAACUUGUGCAAAAGGUACACCUCAAAUCCAUCCUAUAAGCCCAAGUGCAAGUUCAUACAAUCUAGUCUGAAAAAGUAACUAAAGUCCAUACCCAAGGAAUAAAUGCGAAGUUUUAGCACCCAAAUGUAUACCCACUUGGAUUAUCGUUUUCAUCUUUGUAUAUAUAACGAGAUUAGUUGCCCAAUCUCAUUGGAUAGUACUUGCUAAGACUUAUCCUUUGAUACCAAAUAUAGCUCAUGUGAUUUUCACCCUUAGCCACCCUUAGUAUAGGAUAAGCUUGAAAAUUACUAAAUAUAGAAUGACUCUAGAUUGCGAAUUUGGAAAUAGGACUAACACCAUUAUGUUCAAGAGAAUCUCUAUAUUUUGUAAAUAUACCAAAUUACCAAAUCUAGAGACUUUCCAUAAAUAGUAAUUGGGACUGAAUAGGAUUAACACAAAAGGCACGAUAGCAAGGGUGUUUGGCAGACACAAUAAAUUAUCAUCUGGUAAUAUUGAGAGACUAGUCUCAAUACAUAAGGAUUCUUAUCAAGUCAGUGCAAGAUAGAGCACAAGAGAACUAAGAGCUAGGCCAAGUAUGCUUAGUAAGAAAUACAUAGGAGUUCCUACCUUAUAUUUAUCUAGCUAAAUAUAAAUGCUAAGCCUAGUUUAUUAACACUUGAAUAAGAGGGAUUGAUAAAGGGUUUAGCAAUACCAACCUCCUACCAUCGUGAUAGUAAGGAAAUAAUUGUAAGCUCAUGAAUUUGGACUUCUCAGGAGGUCACCCAACCCAGUACUAUUCAAACCCAAAGACGCUUAACCCGAAGUAUCCCAAAACCCUUAACUGAUUAAAAAAGGGGGUGCACUCUUGUUCAUAAGCCCUUUCCCUCUAUAUUUGAACCCUAUGGAUUGUCUCUCAAGUCGUUCCCUUUGGUUGCUUAUAAUCCACCACACUUCUCUGCAAGUUCACGCCCUCGUGAACGGAAGCUGAGAGUCGCAACUCCCCUGAGAGCCCAGCUCUCCUAACACCCUACCCCUCGGGUCGAGCCCAGCAGGAGCAAACUGGACCUGCCAGAUGUCAAUUAACAUGUGAUGCAAUUCCCCUACCCAACCAACAGAGUCGGACUCGAGACCUCUCUGAUACCAAAUGUAAGCUUUUGAGUUUGGACUUCCCGAAAGGUCACCCAACCCAGUACUAUUUAAACCCACUACAAAUAUCCCAAGACCCUUAACCGAUUGGAAAACGGAGUGCACUCUUAUUCAUGGGCCCUUUCCCUUUAUAUUUGAACUCCAUGGAUCAUUUCUCAAGUCGUUCUCUUUGGUUGCUUACAAUUUGCCACACUUCCCUGCAAGUUCACGCCCUCGUGAACGGAAGCUGAGAGCUGCAGCUCUCCUGAGAGCCCCGCUCUCUUGACACCCUACCCCUCAGGUCGAGCCCAGCAGGAGCAAAUUGGACCUGCCAGAUGUCAAUCAAGUUGUGGUGCGAUUCCCUUAGCCAACCAACAGAGUCAGACCCGAGACCCCUCUGAUACCAAAUGUAAGCUCCUGAAUUUGGACUUCCCGAAAGGUUACCCAACCCAAUACUAUUCAAACCCAAGGACACUUAACCCCAAGUAUCCCAAGACCCUUAACCGAUUAGAAAAAGGGGUGCACUCUUGUUCAUAAGCCCUUUCCCUCUAUAUUUGAACCCUAUAAAUCGUCUCUCGAGUCGUUCCCUUUGGUUGCUUACAAUAAUAUUUGAAAGGACUAGCCGAUAGGUAAUUUUUGCUACCAACAAUCAUAUUCGCAAAAUGGUAAUAAGGAAAGAAUAUCCAAAAAGACUUACUAACAAAUAACUUUUAAUACCCUCAAUCAUAUUUGCAACAAGUAUUUAAAGUGAGACUUGGACAUAUGGAGGACUUGAAUAAAGUGUAAAGUCAAUAUGGCUCUAAAGCCACCUUUAUGGUUGUGGUAAAUAACCCAAGUUGAGAUAAGGACCUAUAGAGGUUAUGAAUAAGACUCCUCCAAGUGGUUAAAAAUGUAUUAAUUGACUAAAGUAGAAUGAAAAAUUUAAUCAAUUACAAAGUGUAGUUGCUAAACACUCAAACCAGAUUUUAACCUAUAAUUUUGAACUAAAACAUAAGACUUUGAGAGCCACUAUAAUCCAUAAAAUACCAUUGUAGCAAAUGAUACAUUCUAUCUCUAUAUCUGUCUAAAUCUCCUAGACUUGCAUUAACUUAAACUCAUAACUUUCAUCCUUCUCUACCACUACACAUGGGAGGUUAUAUUCAUUUUUUUCAUGCUUUACAUUCUCCUUAUCCUCUUUUGAAUGAAAAAAAGUUUUGAAGCAUAGACUCUAUUUGAACUUACUAUGCCUAUCUUCACUCUGUUAUUUAGUUUGGCUUCACUACAUUAAUGUAGCGCAUAUGAUCAUGGGAUGAGAUUUGAAUAUAUUAUCACUAUGGAUCCUUGGAACCUUGGGGGAUAAAUGGGGAUAAAAUAGCCACUAAAGGCUUUCUCAUCAAGCAAUUGCUUCAUUUUCAAUUGGUUUAAGGGGAGGGAGAUAGAGUGUACUAUAUGUGGUAUCAGAGCAAAUGACAUAAGUUCGAUUCCCAUUGAUUAAUGACUACUUAAAAUAUAAUAUACCCUUGAGCAAGGUAUAUUCCUACCCCUAAAUUUAAAAUUGUAUUGUGAGUGCUUGAAAUAUAGAAAGGGAAUACAGAAAAUGUGCAUAUCAAUUAGCCCAAAAACCCUAGCUUAUAUACAAUCUAGAUUGAAACCAAUCUAAUGGCAACCAAAAUCCCACUACGCUAAUAUUAGUAUAUGCCAUUAUAGCCGUACACUUGGCCCUCACAUCAUCCCCUCCUCUCGGAAUAAUGGAAGACCAUCAGGGUUCUCUUGUAAACGGGCCAGCAUCUAGAGGAACGUCAGGAGGAGGCAUUAGCAAAUCUGUUCAAACGUUGCACAUACACAAUCUAUAGAGGAUUAGCCUACUGGAUGUCAUGCCGAACCUCACAAACUUGUGGUCUAACUUGCCGCAACACCCAAUACAAUCCUUUCCACUACGUAAAGAGCCCGUUAGAUAAACCACAUACUAUAAGAUGGAAAAAACAGACUUUAUCCACUUUAUACUUUGCAGGUGGAUGAUGAUGGGAGUUGUAGCAUUGUUAUUGUCCCACUUGUAUGUAUCCUAAGUGUUCGGCAAACUCUACUCAAACAAGUGGAAAAAUGCUCGUCAAAUAUUGAUCCCACAACCUAGCAUCAGUAGCUCGUGGCAAUCGUGAGGUAAACUCAGCUCCGUUGAUAAUAUUGGAUCAUGACUAUAUAGGAGCUUAUAUAAUGAUGCACCAAUAGAACUUUGCACCCCUGUGACAUAUGCAUACCGAAGAGACGGCAAAUAACCAUCCCAAUCCGAAUGUUAAAAAUUCACAUACUUCACAAUCAUCCCUUUGAAUGUCCGAACGAGCCGUUCCACCAGAUUGUCUGAUUGUGGAUGAUAAGCACUUAUGAAAGUGUAGUGUAUCCCCAACCGAGAUGUCAAAACAUAAAAUGCCUCAACCAUAAAUGCGGGACCAUUAUCCAAAAGAAUCCGCUCUGAACAAGAAUGCUGGAACACCACUCGAUUGAGGAGGAAGUAUCCAACAACAGUUGUAGAGGUGCUAGCAAGAGCACCAACUUCCACCUGACAAGUUAAGUAGUCAAAGGUAAUAAUAAUAUACUCAUUGCCAGCAGUCGAUCGUAGAAAAAGUCCCAUAAGAUCAAAUGCCACCAACUCAAACGGACAAGAAGUUGCAAUUGAUUCCAACCGUCCUUCCACAACACGAGGGGUAGUAUUAUGAGUUUGGCACCAAACACAGCUACACACAUAUUGGAUAAUAUCACCUUGCAUCUCCGGCCAAUAGAAAGACCUGCGUAACUUCUCAAUUACACGACAAUGUUCCAUAUGCCCACCUAGAAUAGAAGAAUUAUGGUAGGCAUGAAGAAACCACGGAAUAAAGACAAAAGGCACCACCAGCUGUAAAUGAUCAUCAAAAUUCGUCCCCACAAAAUAAAGAAGGUUGUCUUCAAGGCGAUAUUGAGAAUGUAAAUGCCGGAAAGGCAAGUUAUCAACAAGUGAUACAGGAUUCUCAAACCCAUCUCGAAGCCUUCGAAUCCACAGCUCAAUCUUUUGAGCCAUGCAAACCUCAUCAAAAGAAGGUAGAUCUUGUUCCGCGCCUUGUGGACACUGAACGUCAAGUGUAGCAACUACCGAUAACAUACAAUCCUCGUCUAGAAAAUCCACAGAUGCUGGAACAAUAUGCUCAUCAGAAACAUGAAAAGAGAGUGGAGAAGGAGGGGUCACUGAUUUAUUCGCGCAAGGUCCCUCCAUUACUCGUGCGACUCUUCGUUUCUUGGAUGCAUCUCGGUGUCCAAACCUUCCACUACAACAGCACUAACGAGACGUUACUAACACCAAGGUCUCUAGCCAGGAAAUGGAGGUCACCAAUCUAGAAAAUGCCGACAACACCAAUAAGUGUGACCAACUUCAUCACACGCCCAGCAGCAAACAUCAUGGCUAUGGCCAUGACCACGUCCUCGCCCUUGUCCUUGGACUGAAGCAGCAACAGCAUCAACCUCCAUUGGAACAGGACCAUCACCUAUAGGAAGUGGAGCUAAAGGACGUGCAGCAAGAAGUGGAAGAGGCAAUGUCUCAUAAUGUUGUGCCAAGCAAAGAGUAUCAUCAAGGAUGGCAGGAGCAAGUGCAUGCACAAGUCCGACAAGAUCUUAAAGAAGUGUUAGCCACAACAUUCCUAGCUUGAUGCGCUCUGACAUAUUUAGCUCAGCACAAAGCAAAAGACUUCGGAAAUGAACGCCAAAUUGCACCACCGACUCAGAUGGCCCUUGGCGAAGAAGAUGCAAUUGUUGGAAGGCAUCAUCAUAGUCAUUGGCACGUCCGAAAGCGUGUUUGAAGACGUCCGGGAGAACACUUUAAUCCCCACGAGUGGCUGCACUCAAACCAUUGUACCAUUGCAAUGCUGUCCCUUGAAGACACGUGGGAAACUCAUGCAAAUGUCGAGUAUCAUCCCAAAAAUGAUAUGUGGCAAUCACCGUGAAGUGAUCGAACCAAUGGUACACAUCAUCCCGAGGAUUCCCACAAAAGAACUCCUGCCAAACGCGAGGAUUGGCACCAAGAGCAAGAGGAGUUGUACCACGUGCCGUGAACACCGCCAUCAACUGAAUUUGAUUGUUCAAUUGCAAACAUAUAGCAUCAAGCAAUUGUACCAACUACUACUCCAGAGUCAAAGGAGGAGAUUGUUGAUCUGCUAUGAAGAAGAAUGAAAAAAGAGCAAAAAAAGAGAAAUAACAAAAAGCUAGAAGGAAAUAAUAAAUCUAGACAAUGCAAAAAGUUAUAUUUAAACCAAAAUCCUAAAAGGAAAGAAUAAAAGAAAAGAAAUGGAAAAAGCUAGAUCUAAACCAAAAUCCCAAAUCCAAGCACUCCUCAGGGACAAUCAAAAGUGCCCUUUACCUCCACUAAUGUGAGUGCUUGGAAUAUAGAAAGGGAAUAUAGAAAAUGUGCAUAUUAAUUAACCCAAAAACCAUAGCUUAUAUACAAGAGCAAGUGGUUCAGAUUGAAACCAAUCCGACGGCUACCAAAAUCCCACUACAUUAAUAUUAAUAAACGGCAUUAUAACCAUACAUUUGGCCCUCAUAGUAUGUAUUGGGCAUCUAUGUGUACGUUCUUCCUUUUGGUGGAGCAUAUAUGGAUGGAGCAAAUAGCACGAGUUUGAUUCCAUUAGUAGCUACUUAAAAUAUAAUAUACCCUUGAGCAAGGUAUAUUCCUACCCCUAAAUUUGAAAUCAUACGUAUUGGAUGCAUAUGUCCUUCCUCUUGGUGGAGCAUACACGGAUGAAGGCAUGAUUAGUUGCCUCACAUGGAAUAAAAUGAAAUAACCAUUUAAAAAGGGAUAAAAUGUGUGUAAAACUUAGAUAACAAAAUACCUUCUAUUAUAAAAGACUCUAUCUAAACAAAAAGGUGAAUAACAAAAGAUAUCUUGUUAUAAACUACAACAUAAAUAAGAGACUCACACUACUCAACUUCCUUAAACACACAAUUUGAUACUUAAUAAAAUCAAUAGAAUAGAAAAACUCCUCAAUAAAAUCACCAUUGCCGCUACCUCUUGAACCAUCACUUUAAGAAGAUUUUCCUCCCACCACCAAUAACAAUAACUCUGAAAUCUCAAAACGAGGUACUUCACUUCAGAAUUUUAAUAAACUGGAUACUCAAACAGUAAUGGCUUGAGAUGAGACAAAGUUCACUACCAAGACACUCGUUUUUUUUUUUUUAAACCAUUCUGCAUUACUAUGCAUUCAGGAACCAACAACUUUUUAGGUGAAGCAUUUUGGGGACCAUAACAUUUUCAUUGGUGAGGAUGAGUAUCAUGCUUGGCUGGAGAACAGUCCCUAGAUGCUUGUUCAACCAUGAGGUUUUGAGCAAGGCAUUAAUUAUAGGGUAAGUGGGUACACAAGCUAAAUACAAGGAGAAAAGUGAGAUUAAUUGAUAGAAGGUAAGAUUAUUUGCAAAAGAUUACAAACAAUGAGUUGGAAUUGAUUAUAAUGAGAUAUUUCACCAAUAGUUAAAAUGGUUUCUUUCCACUUUGUUCUUGCAACUGCUAAUCAUUUGGAUCUUGAGGUUGAGCAGAUGGAUGUUAAAAAUACAUUCCUCAAUAGCAAGCUAGAGGAACUAGUAUAUAUGUGUCAACCUUCAAUCCAAGGAAAAGAGUGUUAUAUUUGCAAAGUCCAUCAAUCUAUUUAACAAUCACCAAGAAUUGGAAUUUAUAUUAUUGUUUUUCAGAUGAUUCUUGUGUGUGUUUAUGUCAACAAUCUUAUCAUGGUUGGAAAGACAACAAGUCUAUAUUGGCUUAAAGAACAGCUUUCCAACAGCUUUGAAUGACCUUCUGUUAGGCUUGUAAAUAAUGCGUGAUAGGGAAAGUUGAGUUCUAAAGAGUCAUCAACAUAAGUAAAAUCAGGAAAUACAGUUAUUUUUUCACUACAUGACCAGCUCUGACUCCAGUACUACAAUUCAUCAAACUCUCCAGAGCCAAUCAACCAUGUUCCUCCCAAGGGGGAGAGGAAAGAGAUGGCUAUGCUACCAUAUCAAAAUAUGGUUGGAGCAUUGAUGCAUUUAGCCACAUCAAGCAGAUUGAACAUAGUUUCCAGAGUGUCCCAGUUCAUGCAGAAUCCUGGGAAGAGACAUUGGUAUGCAGUGGUAAAUAUGUAAGUCAAACUUACAAGAGAAAUUGGAUUGGGCAUAUUUAUGCCGUACGGAAUGGUAGAUGCUAACCUCGCUGAUGAUCUAGAUGGUCGGAGACAACAGCUGGGUAUAAGUUUAAAUUUUCUAAUGCAGUUGUAUCAUGGCACAGCCAGAAAUAGAGAAUGGUGGCAUUGUCCACUUGUGAAGCAGUUGUUACAGAAGCUGUCAAGGAAGCUUUAUGGAUUCGAUACUUGUUCUAGGACAUCAGUUUAGCUGCAAGCAACACUAAACGUUUACAACAAUAACACAGCGUAUCUUCAAUCUAUCACGAACCAGUGCGUCAUGGGAGAAAUAAACAUUUCAAGAUGUUCUACUACUUUAUCAGGGAGAGGAUUGAGAGAGAAGAGGUCAAGCUGAAAUACAUCUCCAUGACAUGACAGCGGAUUUGCUCAUGGAGCGUCUGUGACAACAACUCGGACUGAUCUCACAGGGGGAGUAGCAAUCUGAUAAGAGACAUCAGAUUGAGGGGGAGUGUUGGAGCAAACAGCAGCAGAUCAAGGAGAGAUCAAGGCACAAUCUAAGGAAACCAGAAUGUGUAUGUAAACCAGGUGAGGGUUGCAUCAAUACACAAGUAGCUUUUUCCCAUUUAUGCUGUGUCCAUCAGGCCAUCUGGGAUGGGCAUUGCUAGCUCAGGAGCAUUACCGUCUCAUGCUCAGUGGGAGCCCUGGUCUACAACAAUGCAUGGACUUGGAGGUCAUACAUGUCCACCCAUGGGUGUUGCGGCUCUCAUUUUUUAAAACUGCUCAUAUAGAGUUGCAUAGGCACUAUUAGCUCCAACUUGGAGUGCUGCCCAUGUAUGUCCUUUUGAUAUGUAAAUCAAGUGUAUGACAUGCUUUUUCUAUGAGAAAGUAACAGCCACUGCGGAACAUGGAUCAGUCCUAGCUUGGACUAUUUGCCCACCAGGUGGCACAAAAGCUAGAAGGCCUUCGGACGUUUUCAUGAACUGUGAACCACAUCCUAACUCAAGGUGUCAGCCGAGUACUAUAAUCAAGCAAGCUUGCAUUGGCUCCUAGGCCUCUCUCACCUGGAGAUGCCUCACACGACAGUAUGAAACCCUUCCAUUCUCUCAUGCUGGGACACCACUAACUCGAGUAACUAAGAGAUGCCAACUUCUCUGAUCACGAGUUACACAAAGAUUCCAACAGAUCUAAGAGCCUAGUUUUGAUUGUGCAAAUCCAAAACCCUAGGCCAGGAUCACAAUUCCCCAACACACCACGAACGGUAUGCCAUCCAUGCUCCACAAGCUGCAAGCUCCGUGUGGUUGAUGUCCCUAUACACACUUUUUCUCUUGCUCUUUUACACUCACAUUCCCUUUCAAUCCACACAUAAACCAUUUCACGCAUCACACGUCCAAGUUCCUCAACUAACUGGUUCCUGUGCUCUUGAUGGCCAAGAAACCGGCAAGGCCUAGGAUACCCGGCCAUAGAAAUGUGAGUGGAAGUGGACCCGUACGUCUGUUCUGUUCCAAAGACUUUGUAGAGUUUACAAAGCCGCGUAAAGGAUGAAACCCUAAACCCUUGGUCAUGGAUGAGCCGAGCCCUACGAUCAUCACGAUUCCUCAGCACGCUCGCCAAUCCAAGCGUGGACGCGCUCAUCGAUCGCCUGGAGCAGGGCAGCAUCGAUCCAAGCUACAACACCCUCGCCGGGCUCCUGGGAUCUUGCGCAAAUCCCUCGCAGGUCAAUCGCCUCCACCGCAUUGCCACCAAAGAUCGUCAUGGGAUCAAUCCCUUCCUUGGAAAUCAGCUCCUCCAGAUCUACGUCAAGAUGGGCAACGUCGAUUCCGCCGCUCGGAUCUUCCCCUCCCCUGCCGCCUGGAGCGUCGUCUCGUGGACUUGCCUCGUCGCAGCAUUUGCCCGCCAUGGGCAGUUUUCCAGAGCAAAUGCCCUCUUUCGCGAAAUGCUGCUCCACGGCGCUACGCCGGACAAGAUCGCGCUCCUGGCUGUGAUCCAGCUCCUCCAGCACCCCCGCGAUCUUGAAUUCGCGAGAACGCUCCAGGGAUGGAUCCACGAGGCCGGGCUCUCGACCGAUCUCGUCCUGGGCAACGCGCUCAUCGCCGGAUACUCACGGUGCCAGAGCCUGAUCGAUGCGACGCGGGCGUUCCAUCGAAUCGCCCGCAAGGACACGAUCUCCUGGAACUCGAUCAUCGCCGCGCACGUCUCCUCGCAGCUCUUGCCCGUCGCCACGACGAUCUUCCACACGAUGCAGCACGAAUCCAGCUCCAGGCCCGACGCCGGCACUCUCAUGACGAUCAUCGCGACGUUCGUGGCUCCGGUGGAUCUUCCCCGCCUCGAGCGAUUCCACCGCGUCAUGAUCCACGACGAGCUCUUGCGAUCGGACACCAUCCUCGCCACCGCGCUCCUCACAGCCUAUGCCAGGAGCUGUGGCAGCCUCGCCGGCGCUCGCGAUGUCUUCCGCAAGAUCGAUCGCUUGGAUCUCGUCUCGAUCAAUUCCAUGAUCGCGGCAUUCGCUCACCACCACCGCCCGCGCGAGGCGAUCGAGCUCUUCCACCGGAUCUCCCCGGAGCUGGGCGUGCCCCCGGACAAGGUCAGCUUCCUCAACACGCUGGGAUCCAUCGCGAGCGCUGAGCAGCCCCAGCUCCUGGGCGAUGGAUUCAUCCUCCACACCAUCGCGAGAUCCUCCGGCCAUGGAUCCGACCUCGCCAUCGCCACCGCGCUGGUGGACAUGUACGCCAAGUGUGGCGAUCUCGCCGCCGCUCGAGCGGUCUUCGAUUCCAUCCAGCUCCAUCGCCGGGAUCUCAUCGCCUGGAACGCGAUGCUCUCGGGCUACUCUCGCGCGGAGCGAUUCGCCGAGACGAUGGAGAUCUUCCAUGCGAUGAGGGCCGCGAUCUGCGACGAGCUCCUGCCGACGAGGGUCUCGAUCGCUGCCGCGCUCACUGCUUGCGCGAAUCUGCUCGAUCUGGAGUCCGGGGUGGAGAUCCACGCGCUGGCAGCGCGAUCCGGGGUGGAGGCCGAUGUGGGCGGUCUCUUGAUCCACAUGUACGCCGCCUGUGGAGAUCUGGAUGCUGCCAAUCGGGUCUUCGAUGUCGCCAUGGGCGGAGCUUCGAUCAAUCGCGACUUGAGCUCCUGGAACUCGAUGAUCACGGCCUAUACCGAUAGGAAUCUCUGGGAGGAAGCGCUCUCUCUCGUCCACCAGAUGCACCACCAGGGCAUGGCCUUCGACGACAUAAGCUUCGUGACCGCUCUCAACGCCUGUGCCGCCGCGGGAUACCGUGGGAUACCGCACGGUACAUCCGUACACCUCUGCGUCGCCGAGGCCGGGCGGGAAGAGGACGUGAUCAUCCGCACGGCGCUGCUCAACAUGUACGGCAAGUGCCGCGACCUGUGCCGCGCGGACGCCGUGUUUGACGCGCUGCGGCGCUCCGGCCAGAGGCUGGAUCUCAUCGCGUGGAACGCGAUGGGAUCGGCUCUGGCCCAGCACGAGGAAUUCGAGCGCGUUCUCACGCUCUACGGGGAAAUGCUACUCGAGGGCGUGACGCCGGAUGAGAUCUCGUUCGUGAACGCCCUUACCGCCGCCGCCACUGCUGGUCGCGAGACGUUGGCGGCGGUGCACAGCCACGUCGUGCAGCGCGGCAUGAACCGCGACGUCGUGGUGGCUACCGUACUCGUGGCGGCGUACGGCAGUGCCGCGGAGGUGCGCCGCGCGGAGGAGUCCUUCGCGGCGGUACCGCCGUACCGCCGCGACGUCGUGCUGUGGAACGCCAUGAUUAAUGCCUAUGGCGGCACGCCGCCGGCUCUCCGUACGUACGACUCCAUGGACAUCGCGCCGGACAAGCUUACCCUAGUUCUUGCGCUCAAUGCGUGCGCGGGCAUGGCGGAGCUUGCCGCCGGAGAGAGAAUCCACCGCAGGGCGAUCGAUCUCGGCUUCGAUCGCGACGUCGGCGUGAUCACAGCACUGAUCCACAUGUACGCGAGCUGCGGCCGGCUGGAGCAAUCGCAGGAGAUCUUCCACGGCGCUCAAGAACACACGAUGUUCAUGUGGAACGCGCUGGUGUCUGGAUUCGCGCGGCGCGGCCAGUCGGAGCGAGCGAUCGCGCUGUUCGAGCGGAUGCAGCAGAGCGGGCACCGCGCGGACGCGAUCGGCUUCGUGAGCAUCCUCAGCGCUUGCAGCCAGGCGGGAUUGAUCGGUCGCGGGUGUGGAUAUUUCGCGUCGCUGCUCCACGAUCACGGGAUCUUGCCCUACCGCGAGCACUACGCUUGCAUGAUCGAUCUCUUUGGGCGGGCGGGCCGGCUGGAGGAGGCGGAGGAGUGGCUGCGCAAGAUGCCGGCGCACAAGCUGAGCAAGAGCGUGUGGGAGACGCUGCUCGGGGCGUGCUCGAUCCACAGCGAUGUCAAGCGCGGGCGGCGAGCGGCCGAGGAGCUCUUUGAGAUGCAGUCCAGGAAAUCGUCGCCCUACGUGAUCAUGGCCAAGCUCGCGAUGCUUUCGUCGAAUCGGGGCGAGUCGUGAGCUCGGACGGAUCGAAUCGUGAGCUCGGAUCGAUCGAUCGAUCGAUGGAAAUUUGGUCUUGGGGAGGGAGCAUAUUCUCGGAUCUAACAACGCUCGGAAAUCGUGGCGGCAUUUCCAUCGUCCGAUGGGAAUUUGGAUCCAAGAACUCUCGCGCGCUGCUAACGCGAUUUUAGGGUUUAUCGGAAUGAAGCGCUUGGCGCCCAGCGAUGGAUUUGAGACCAGCCACUCCACGGCGAGCAGUGACGGGCGGAGAUCUAUCUAUGGUACGCUCCUGGUUUUGUGAUUUCGAGAAUGUGAGAGAAUGCGAGGUCUUUGUAGAUCGGACGCUGCAAAAGCUCUGGGCGGGAAUGCAGAGUUUCCAAUUCAAUCUCAAGAACACAAUAAUGGAAGUACCACCUCCAGAUUUUUUGGGCAGUGAUCAAUGCUUUCGCUGCAAGUAAGGAAGAUUUUCUCCUUCCUUUCUCCCUUUCGAUGCUUUACUUCUUAUUUUUUCUUCUCAGGAAGUUUUUGAAUGGUUUGAUUACUUGCGAGGGAUGUGCGGAAGGAUUUUGCUCCUUUUGCUCCAUAACCAGGUCGGAGAUUCUUUCUUUUCUCUCGUGAUUUUUUCUAUAAUGUUACUACAGUUUCGAAGAGCAAAAUGAUAGAACCUUUUGCAUGGAUUGCAAUGCGAAUGAUCUCGAUCGUAGGCGAAAGCUUGCUCGUCAACAACGCUCCGUUUCUAAGGUAUGCGUAAAGUCUCCCGGGCCGAGUUGAGAACAUCCUUUUCUAGCCUGUGAAAAAAAAGGUUUUAAUCCUUUAAGCCUUUUUCGCUAUAUAAUAGGUGUCACCUUAGGUCGCUAGAAAGGUUUGGCCAUGGCCUCGUCUUCGACCGGAGGCGAGCAGCCUGCAAAAAAAGUAGCUCUCCAUCGACUUGUGGUCGAUGAUGCAGUCCAUGACGAUAAUUCGAUCGUAACUCUUCACCCAGAUCGGAUUCAAGCUCUCAAUCUCACGCCAGGCGAUACCGUUCUCGUCAAGGUGAGUGAUGGUCUUAAUUCCUUUACUGUAGGAUGCUAAUCCUUUUAUGAAUGAGCAGGGGAAGAGAAGGAGAGAUACUGUCCUCAUCCUUCUUCCAGACGAAAAUUGUGAGGAAUUCAAGGUGAGGAUCAACAAGGUCGUCCGGGUGAACCUGAGAGUCAAGCUCGGAGAAGUCGUCUCGAUCCACCAGAUCCAAGAAGUGAAAUACGCGAAGAAGGUUCAUGUUCUUCCUCUGGAUGACACCAUCGAGGGCCUCACAGGAAAUCUCUUCGAUUCUUUUCUCAAAGGUAAGUCCACGGUUCUAUCAAGCGUUUGCACUAACUUUCUUUUUGUGAUCGAAGAUUACUUCACUGAAUGCUUCCGGCCAUUGAGAAAAGGUGACCUCUUUUUGGUCCGUGGAGCGAUGCGAGCAGUGGAGUUUAAGGUGGUGGAAAUCGAUCCUCCGGGAGAGUAUUGCUAUGUCUCUGCAGACACCGAGAUCUUCUGCGAAGGAGAGCCGGUCAGGCGAGAGGACGAAGAGAACAAGCUCAAUGAGAUUGGUUACGAAGACAUAGGUGGAGUUCGCAAGCAACUUGCUCUGAUCCGCGAGGCUGUCGAGCUUCCACUGAGGCACCCAACGCUCUUUCGAACGAUUGGAGUGAAACCACCGCGAGGAAUCUUGCUCUUUGGGCCUCCAGGGACUGGAAAAACGAUGAUUGCCAGAGCAGUCGCCAACGAGACUGGAGCCUUCUUCACAGUCAUCAACGGACCCGAGAUUAUGUCCAAGCUGAACGGUGAAAGUGAGAGCAAUCUUCGCAAGGCGUUUGCAGAGGCCGAGAGAAACGCUCCCUCGAUCAUCUUCAUAGACGAGGUGGACUCCAUUGCUCCAAAGCGAGAGCAAGCUCACGGAGAGGUGGAGCGAAGGAUCGUCUCACAGCUCCUGACGCUCAUGGACGGAUUGAAAACGCGCUCGAACGUUGUCGUCAUGGCAGCGACGAACCGGCCGAAUAGCAUCGACCCCGCUUUGCGAAGAUUUGGAAGGUUCGAUCGAGAGAUUGAUAUUGGUGUCCCGGACGGAGUUGGCAGGCUAGAGAUACUUAGAGUUCAUACCAAGAACAUGAAACUAUCCAACGAUGUAAGUUCUCCUCAAAGGUUUCUGCCAACUUACUCUUGUGUCGUUGUUUUAGGUGGACUUGGAAUCUGUCUCCCAAAAUUUGCACGGUUUUGUUGGGGCGGACUUGGCAUCACUUUGCUCUGAGGCUGCCAUGAACUGCAUUCGCAAGAAAAUGGACAUCAUCGACUUGGAGGCCGAGACCAUCGACGCUGAGAUUCUGAACCUGAUGGCCGUCGACAAGGACGAUUUCCAGCUCGCAUCUGGCGUCAGCAAUCCAUCAGCGCUCCGAGAAACAGUGAGUAUAGAUCUCCUUACCCAAUCGUUUCUAACAAUCGAUUAUUUUUCCGCAGCUCGUGGAAGUUCCAGACGUUUCUUGGGAAGAUAUCGGCGGCCUGGAGUCAGUGAAGCGAGAACUCGAGGAGACAAUCCAGUAUCCGAUCGAGUUCCCCCACAUGUUCGAGAAGUUUGGCAUGUCACCGUCGAAAGGAGUUCUCUUCUACGGCCCACCCGGCUGCGGCAAAACUCUCCUCGCUAAAGCCGUGGCGACGAUGAUCCACUGCAACUUCAUCAGCAUCAAGGGACCGGAGCUUCUCUCAAAGUACCUCGGCGAGAGCGAGGGCAACGUGAGGGAGGUGUUUGACAAGGCCCGGGCGUCAGCGCCGUGCGUCCUCUUCUUCGACGAGCUCGACUCCAUCGCCAUACAGCGCGGUAUCUCGGCCUAUGACGCCGGCGGUGCCGUGGACCGUGUCCUCAACCAGCUGCUCAUCGAGAUGGACGGUCUUACUGCCAAGAAGACGGUGUUUAUCAUCGGUGCUACCAACAGGCCGGACAUCCUCGACUCGGCCUUGCUCCGGCCUGGACGAUUGGACCAACUUAUCUACAUUCCUCUCCCGGACGAGCCUUCUCGGCUCAAGAUCUUCCAGGCGUGCUUGAGAAAGACUCCGCUGUCAAUGGACGUGGAUCUGGCUGCUCUUGCGAGGCACACGCCAGGAUUUAGCGGGGCUGAUAUCACCGAGAUUUGCCAGCGAGCUUGCAAGUUUGCGAUCCGAGAGGAUAUCGAGAAGGUACUUCAAAGUUUUUUUUUUUGUAGCUGGCUUGAGCUUAAACUCUCUUUGUUCCUUUCAGGACAUGAAGAAAGCUGCUGAGAAUGGUGGCGAAGACAUGAUGGACGAGGACAAUGCGGUGGCUUAUGUUGAGCCGAGGCAUUUCGAGGAAUCGAUGAGGUUUGCUCGGCGGAGUGUGAGCGACGCGGAUGUUCGCAAGUACAAGGCUUUCUCGCAGAGCCUCCACCAGUCUCGAGGAUUUGGAGAGUUUAAGUUUCCAGGAGCCGAGCACCAGAUGGUCGAUCAAAAUGAUACUGCCCAAAUGCCCGAUGAAGAUUUGUAUGCUUAAGAACAAUGAUAUAUUUAUUAAUAUUGAUUUAUUAUGUUUAUUAUUCACCUUUUAUUUUAUUUUCCUUUAAUGUUGGGACAGGAAAAAAUACAAAAAAAAAUUUGUCAGUUCUUAAGAUUCCAGUACCCCACCGCUCACAGUGGAAUGCGAUUAUUAUUCCAUAUCUCUCUGGAUAAGAAUCCAGUAAAACAUUUUAAUAGUGGGAGUAUUUCCAAUUUAUUAUCGCAAAGCAUGAUGCUGCUAGACUGGACCCUGCAAUGUGAUGGAUUGAAAUUUAUCGAUGCUGUGUCAUUCGAGCUUUCCAGUUUGCUUCCCAGAGUGUCCCAUCCAAUUUUUGGAGAUUUUUUUUAAGGCUAUGGCCGCCCUUUCUUUGUGAGCAGUAGCCAAACUAUCAUGACGACGAUUGGCGAGCUCUUUACGCUGUUUAUAAUUCAAUUGUUUUGGAUAUUUAAUCAAAAGGAAUUCAUAGGAAAAGUUUGAGAUGCUUGCACAAGGGGUUUAGACCGUAACACUAAACACAGAUGCUGCUGGUGCUUUAGGUGCUGCUUCUUCAACUGCUGCUGGUGGAUCUUCCAAGCUCAGCUCUUUGGUUUUCUCCUCCAGCUCAGGUGUAGCAGCUGGAGGAGCAGCUUCUUCACUUGGAACUUCAGGAGCAGCCACUUCUUUUGCAGCUGGAGCUGAUGCUUCCUCAGCUGACGGAGCCACUUCCUCAGCUGGAGGCACUUUUUCAGCUGGAGUUGGAGUUGGAGUUGUUACUUCUUCAGCUGGAGCUGGAGUUGGAGUUGGGGGAGGAACGUCCUUUACCUAGACAAUAAAAAUAAGUUCAAAGAACAGCAAAAGAGGAAACAUGUUGUUAAACGAUGUCAAGAAUCUUAAAACCAGUCAAGCAGCUCAACAAUGAUCAAGGGGAGUAUAUCAGGGGAUAUUCGGUUCCAGGUCAGUCUCUCUCGAGUUAGAGUCAUUUAUCUUCCUGUUUCUUUGGAACGAUGGUCGAUCCACCAAAGAACUGAUUGAGAUCGGGGCCAGAUCCAGAGAGUGGGGAGCCAAGGAAGUAAAAGGGAGGAAUGAAUCGAAAGAAUCAAACAGAGCUCUCGAGCAAAAGAAGAGGAAGAUCAUCUCACUCUCAUUCUCACAGAUCUGUGCUUGCCUCUUCAGAGCUCAUUGUCAAAACUCUGGGAUGGAUCGAUGGAUCGGCGAGGAGAGCGAGCGAAGAAGCGAGCGAGGAAGAACCAAGAGAAAACGCUGCCCCUGUGUAGUGAACAUACAUGAUAGAGAUUUAUAUACAAGCAGCAAAAACCCAGGCAGUAAAAACUCGAGGUGAAAACCCGGGGUAAAAACUCACCAGCCGGUUACCAUUCACGUAAGGUUAAGCGGUCCUUUCGAGAAUGGGCGGUGACCUGUUUUUCCCAAAAGCUGGAAUCUCCAGCAAAAAGCCCCGUCCCAAUCCCUAUAUUUUAUUUCCAGCCAAGUCUUGCCGCCAUUGUGGGCCACGUGUCAGUACAGUGAAUGGACUACAGCGCUGUAUGAUGACGCCACGUGGGUACCCAUGUGGGCGCCCACCUGGCAUAAUGUUUAGCUGGCUCUCAGCUUACGUGUCAUAAUGUAGGGUUCUUGGUGGAUUCUCCAAGCUCGAUGGCCAUUGGAAUCCCUUCGUCAGUAAGAUAUUUCUCAUUCUUGACAAGAUCUCUGGAAUCUGUGACGUAAUCCAUUGUUUCUUGCUGGAUCUCUAUCUCUUCUACUCUCUUAUCUCUUUGUGAAAUCUUUUGGAUCUCGGAUCUCUCUCGAAAUAUCCCUCAGUCUCUUCGAUUUCUAUCCAUCUCUGGAUCUAUUGGAUUCUUGCAUUGAUCUCUUAGCAGUCUUGCGUGAAAUCUCUUGAAUCUCUAUCCAAUCCCUCUCGAAACAUCGCUCAAUCUUAUCCACCUCCGUCUUGGAUUCCAAUGCCGUGCUCCUCCUUGAGGCAUCCAUCCGCCAUCAAUCCUCUCAGCGCCUCGCCAUCUCCCCGGCGGUCAGAAGCAGCGUAAGUGCUCGAGAGAGCGAUGACAGCCGCGGUAGUCUUCUCAUCCAGGCCGAGAAUCUGCGCUGCCGCUCUCUGCCCGCGACUGAUAUCCUCGUACGUCUUGCAGCCCGCCAGGAACGCCAUCCAUACCGCCGGGGUGGGCUUAAACGGCAUGGAAUCGAUCACACACUCGGCCUCCUCCAGCCGCCCCGCCCGAGCGAGCAGAUCCACAAUGCACCCACAGUGCUCCAGCGUCAGCUCGAUCCCCUCCCGGUGAUCCUUCCGCAACCUCGUCACGAACUCUUUCCCGAGAUCCACCAUCCCGGCAUGGCUGCAAGCCGCGACGACGCUCACGAAAGUCACGUCCACCGGCCUCACUCCCUCGAGCUGCAUGGCGCAAAAGAGCCUGGCGGCGCUGGAUCCGUCACCAUUCUGGGCAGUCGCGGCGAUGAUCGACGUCCACGAAACCACGUCCGGCUGCUCCAGCUCUCCAAAGAUCCUGGCCGCCACCUCGAGGCUCCCACACUUCCCAUACAUGUCGAGCAGCGCCGUGGCCACCAUCGAGCUCGAUCUCUCCAGCUGAUAGCCAAUGACGCAGUCGUGGACCCAUCGCCCUUCCUUGAUCGCGCUCGCGCCCGCGCAAGCAUUCACCACCGUGAUCAAGGUAACUUCGUUCGCUCUCACGCCCUCUAGCAGCAUCUCCCGGAAGAGCUGGACGCAUCGCUUGAUCCGCCCAAACUCCGCAAACGCCGAGAUCAUUGUCGUCCACGAGACGUGAUCCCGCCUCUCCUUUAUCUCCACGAACGUCCGGUACGCUUCUUUCAAGCUCCCACACCUCGCGUAGGCUCUGAUGAUCGCGUUGCUCACAGCAGUGUCGGAGUCGCAGCCACCCCGGAUGAUACACCCGUGGAUCCACCGCGCGGUCGCGGCGCUGGAGCAGGCAUUGAUCACGGUGAUGAACGCGAUCGAGUCGGGCUCCACGCCGUCGUCCUCCAUGUCCCGGAACAGCCGCAGCGCGUCGUCGUGCCGCCCGGCCCUCACCAUCGCCGCCAUCAUGGCUGUCCACGAGACCGCGUUCCUCACGGGCAUCCUCUCGAAGAGCUCGCUGGCGGUCUCGAAUCGCCCGGCCUUGGCAUGCAUGUUGAGGAUCGCGUUGCAAACCGGGACAUCGGAUCGAAGCCCACUGGCAAAAGCUCGCUCGUGGAUCGCCGCUCCCUCGCCCGGAUCAUCGCACCAGGCCAGCAGCUCGAGGAGAGUGAUCCGGUUCGGCCGCGUCCCCUGGAGCUGCAUCCUCCGGAAGAGACCCAUCGCGGCUGGAAAGUCCCCGGCCCUGGCAUUUGCUGCGAUGAUCGAGGUCCACGACACCACGUCCCUGUGAUCCAUGGCUUCGAAAACCCGAGUAGCGUCGGCGAGGCUGGAGCACGCCGCGUACAUCUUCAUCAGCGCGUUCGCCACCACCAGGUCGGUAUCAUAGCCCGUCUCUUGGAUUCUGACGUGAAUUCUCCUUCCCUGUUCCAGAUCCUGGAUCGCGCCCAGCACCGCCACAUACGUGAUCUUGUCCGGGAGGACGUGGUUUCUCUCCAUCUCUGCAAAAAACUGGAUCGCCCGCGAGAAGUCUCCAUGCUUGGCGUAGCCCGUGAUCAUGGCUGUCCAGAUGACCACCCCGGUUUUCUUCGUGGUGGCGGCGAAGGAGUCUUGAGCGUCGGCCAUGCUGCCCAGGCGGACGAAGGUCUGGACGAUGUGCCUUGCCAGCGAUGGAUGGUGGUCGAGGACAUUGUCGCGGGUGGCGUAUUGGCGGAUCCGGCGGGCGUCCGCCAGUGUCCCGCAGCCGCGGAGGAGGUCCGAGUAGAGCACUGGGCUGCCGGAGAUGGAUCCAUUGUCGAGAGCCGCUAGAGUUUCCUGGACCGCAUUGAUGGUGGCGGUGUAGCCUCUUUUGCUGCUUGGCCAGUGGAGCUUCAUUCCUUGAGGUGGAGUAGCCGCGGCAUUAUCGAUCGAUGAUUCACUAUCGUCCUCUCUGGAAAGAAAAUAGGAGUGCUGUAAGUAAACACGAUGAAGAGGAACAUCAACCUCUCUCUAUAUACUCUCGCUUGUCCUUGGCCCUCCAUUCUCUGUUCUCUUGGCUGUACCCAACAAACCAAAAGAAGGCACAGCAAUGGAAUGCGAAGCUCGACUCACUGGUCAAAGAAUCGCUUCAUGCUCUGCAAGUACCCCUCAAAAACGAGCUUCAUGUGACUAAUAGCGAUCUCAUUCUAUUGAAGAAUGGAAACUAAGUUCUUGCCUGGGAUCUUUAGCUUUAGAUGGGAUUAAAUGCCGGCUAUCUUUUGGGAGAUUUCCAAUCAGUCCAUUCCUGAGGAGAGAAGAAAAAAAGAAACUGUAAAUGAAUGUACUCCAAAAAGUGAUUGCCUACCAGAUCAAAUCAAAUGCCGGAGUUGCUGGUUCUCCUUUCGAAGCGCUUGAAGUUCCUCCAUCAUUUCAGCUUGCUUCGCGACUAGCUUUUCCACACAGGACGCCGUCUCCGUCUGCCAAAGGUAAAAGGAAAUCAUGGAAACAAAGUAAGAAAAAAAGUGAGAGUAUCAACAAAGUAACAACCUGUUGGAUGUGAAACUGGCGUAUGAGCUCUAGGUGAAGGUUUUGCACGUCCUCGUGUAUGGCUCGCUGGACGGAGCCAAGGCUUUCCUCGAGAGCACGUUGCACAAGCUGGAGCGCGAACGAAGACGAGGACGGCUGUGGAGGUGAAACUCUUGAGGGAGGCGAGUUUGGUGACGACGCCGAGAGCCUUGGAGGAAGUUCUAGAGCCAAGCCUUUAACAGCCGCCAGAUGCUCUCUAGCUUUGGUGAGUCGAGUUUGAUGAUCGUUUGGAGACAGUUCUGCUGCAUUGCUAGCCUCAACACGCGGAGACGUGGUAGGAUGUUCGUCCUGUAGGAGGAACGUAAAAGUGAAACACACACAAUGGAAGAGUAGUCAACUACUUACUUGAUGCGAGGUUUGCUGGAAUUCGUCUGAGUUUGCUAUUGCCGAGGGAGGAGAUGGCUUCUUUGUUUCGCCGAGUCCGUCAAUGAACGAAGAGAGAGGUUGAACUAUCGGUUGCACGUCCACGAGAGGAGAAAAAACCUCCAUGUCGUCAACACCGCUCGGGGUAGCCUUCGACGAGUGAAGGAUGAAAGAACCACUAUUGGACCACACGCUCUGGUUUGAUGAUUCUUCUGCCGCUGCUGCAUUCCUUGGAUUUGCCACAGUCAGCGAUUCAGGCCGUCCAAAAGAAGGUCUAUUUCUUCCGGAAGCGGGAAGUGGAUCAGGCAUUAUGGCCGGAGUCUCCUCUCCAUUGGCACCGAGCAAAGCCACGUCAGGCGACCAGCUUGAGGUGCUUAUUGGAACCGGGUUUGUCCGUUGCCAGCAUACACUUGCAACAGCCUAAAGAAGUCAACAGUGUCACAAGUUGAAAACGAAUAGACCGUCGCACCUCAGAUGGAUUAAAAGCUCGAAGAACAGCCAUGGGUUGGACUUUGGUACGGAUGUCAUAGAACAUAAUUCUCCCAUUUGUAGUACCGGCUGCGACAGUCCAACCAUCGUCUUUCAAUGCUAAAGAAGAGAAUGGCGCAUCGCAAGAAAGAGAGUGGACAGCCUUCUUUACGCUGGUGUCGUAAGUAUGCAAUCUUUUAUCAAAGCCCACGCUUACUAUGACCUGGAAGGAGAUCAGUCUCAGUCCAUGACGACAAACUUCAACCUCAUGCAUACCUUUUCAUUUGAAAAUGAGAAACCGACACCGCUUGCAGGUGCCAGAUGUUGUCGAAUCCAUGAGGCCUAUCAACGAUGAGCAAAGAAUAAAUUGGCUGAAAAGCAUUAGAUGAAGAAAGCGACUGACCGUACCUUUGGACUGCGUCCAGUAGUGUCCCAAAGAUGCAAUGACCCAUCGUCCCCAGCAGUAACCAGAAGAUUUCGGCUCGAUCGAGAAUACUCCAAGAGUCUCAAAACCUGCUCCAAAGAAACUCAGCAAUUCCCUGCCACGAAAAACGCUCAUGAUGACCAAAGAGAUACUCUACGACCCGCUAGCAUUGCAAAAAACUCUUGCAGGAUACGAGACGCCGAAGAAAAACUCACCUGAUUGAAGGGAUCCUUCACUUCGGUGAUUCGAGACCCGGAAGCAAGGCUGUAGAUGAUGAGAUCACCCCUGGUACUGAUGGACGCAAGGUGCUCGUCUUUGCAGUUAUACAUGACGCCAGUGAUCGUGUCAGUGUGCCCCUUGAGCGAUUUUAUACACUUCUUCCUUUGCAUGUCCCAGAUUCGCACGACUUUCCCAGUUCCACCAGAGCAAAGAUAUCUCGAUGACUUUGAGCUGAAGUUUAUGGCCAGUAUAGACUCCUGGAAGGCAAACGAAACACACAACAAUCACGAGAAAGAAAGAAAAAAUCCAAGAAACACAUACGUCUAGAACAUCGGCUGGAUCGGACUCUAGCUGCGGCACAGAUCCUAGAAGCUUGCCUCCCUUGAGCCACAGCGAAAUCCUGCGAUCCUCCCCGGAGCUCGCCAGGACGUGAUCUGGAAGCAAAGAAACAUCGAAAUAUCACCAGGACGCGCAAUGCAGGCAGCUAGAAGCCGCGAACUGAGAUCUUACUGGUGUGAUUCCAUCGCAGAGCGUUAACCUGGACGCCGGGCGCCGGGAGGAACUGCGAGACGCAAGGAUCCGCCCGGCCCUCGCUCGCGGCAGCGGCAUCAAAGAGCUUCACAUUGUCGCCCCCACACGCCGCGAUCAGCCGCUGCUGCAUCGCCGCCUCGCGGAUCCUCAUCCACUUCGAAAAAUCCCUCUCGCAACACUGGGAGAGAAAAUAAGGGCUCCCGUUAAGAACCAAAACUAUUUCCACCACCCCAGGAAUCGAGCCUGAGACGUCCAAGAAGAUAGACAAAGGAAUCGAACCCAAAACCUGUUGGGACUUCAGAUAUUUCUCUCUCGUUACUUCUUCUUGCCCGCUUUGCCUUCUUUCCUCCUGAUAACUUCGUCCGCGUAUUUGAUCCCUUUCCCCUUGUAAGGCUCUGGAGGUCUCCACGAUCUUAUGAUCGCCGCGAACUGGCCCACCGCGCACUUGUCUCUCCCCGAGACUGUGAUGCGAGUGUUUUCUUCGACUUUGACGCUGAUACCAUCCGGGAUCUUGAUCUUCACCGGGUGCGAGAAGCCGACGUUGAGGAUGAUCUCGGUGGGCUCGACCGUGGCACGGUAGCCGACCCCGACCAUCUGGAGUUUCUUCUCGAAGCCUUGAGAGACGCCAACGACCAUGUUGUCUGUGAGCGUUCUGGAGAAGGAAGAAACUUAGAAAGAUGAGAGAUGUCCAAUGCAAAUGCGAGAACAUCUAGAUCUUAGAGCUGAGAAGCAAAAGAACUCGAAAUCGGGAAAAAAAAAAGAAAAGCUGGAGACAUUCAAUGCAGCUAGAAAGUUCUAACGAUUAAGAAUGCGUGGAAACAGGCAAGCUAUGAAAGGAAAAAGAGUUUUGGAAAACUUGGAAAGAUGAAAGAUGUCCAAUGCAAAUGCCAGCACAAAUGCUGGAUCUAGAACUUAGAGCUCAAAAGUGCGAGAUGGUAGAACUCGAAUCGGGGAGAAACUGGAGAACUUCAAUCCAGCAAGAAAGUUUUAACAAAAACUAGAACUCGAGAUCGUGGAAAAACUGGAAAACUUCAAUGCAGCUAGAAAGUUCUAACAAGAACAACGAUUGAAAGCCAAGAACAAUUGGAAACAGGCAAGCUAUGAAAGAAAAAAAGAGCUUUGGAGAGAACCUGAAAAGGCCGUGCAUUUGGCGAGCGCGCCGUGUUUCCAGAGCCCUGGUGACGACAAUCCUCCCAGACUCAUCCCUGGUGAGGCUGACCUCUCGCGGAUAGUAGCGUGUCAGCUCUCCCAGCGGGCCCUUGACGGAUAGAUUCGGGCCUUGGAGCACCACAUUCACCGAUUUCGGCACCUCAACCGGCCUCUUCCCGAUCCUGGAUUCCUUGCAAAUCACUCUCAAAGGAAGAUUGCCGCUGGCGCUGCUGCUGCUACUGCAAAUACUGGCUCCCAAAGUCUCGCCGGAGAAAUUACUCCGCAGGCCACUGCAGUACAGCCGCAUUGCAAAUCCGGAAGCUUGGAAGGCGAAAAUCUUACCUCAGUGACAAGGCGCAGGAUAUUGCCGCCAUGGCCGCGUCAAGAGCCCUAAAUUUUCAAAGCGAAAGAUUUGGUUAAGAAAUUUUGCUCCCAGCGAGGUUUGAACUCGCGACCUUUGCCUCAUAAGACCAACGCUGAGCUAAAGGGAGCUUACCACUAUAACCGCAAUCCAUAACCAACGUUGCCAUGGAGUAAAAACGCCGAGAAGAAGACCUAGUAGCGAUGUCUGAGGAAGUUCCAGAGGUUAAAAUCGACGUAAGUUUGCCACAUUCUUCUGUUUAAUCCUUUGUCCCCAAAGACAAACUUUCUUCCAGCCGAGGUUUCUUCCAGACGAGAUCAAUGGUAUCAUCAAAGACGCGCUGGAUCAAUCGCUCGGAAGCAACCAGUUUAGGCACGACAAGGUUUGCAACAAGCUCCCCAACUUUCUCGGACGGAUCCAAACUCCAUCCAAGAAAAAGAUUUUCCAACUUUCUUGGAGGCAUCACUGAUCUUGGAAAACCCAAAACACAAAAGGUGACGGAUUGGACAACCAGCGUCUGCGAAGUUUGUCUCAACAAUCUUGUCAAGCUUGACAAGCCCUUCAAAUACGCCGGUGAGUAGAGAAACGAGCAAAAUCUCCCCUCCUGAUUAGCCACUAAUCACCCACAUUCUCUCCUUGUUUAAGUGACGUGCUUGAUAAUGCAGAAGAACGGUGCGGGGAUGGUCACCGCCACAUCCUGCUUCUGGGAUACCGCGGCCGAUGGUAGGCAUAUUCCUCGAAUCUUUCCCAGAAUUGAACACACCCGUCCGUACAGGGAGCAAAACCAUACGGUGGGAGAACAAAACCAUGUACUGCAUUGUCACAGUCUUUGGCCUCCAGAUCUAAAAUGUAAAUACCAUGUUACCAUGGUAGUGAAUAUACUAGGAAUAUGCCAGCUAUUUAAAUUGGUAUAUGCUUCCUUUGAGAAGAAACUUGGUCGAUCGGAUUUUACUUUUGCGAGUAGAGAUUAGCAAGCAUUACCAUCGCCCUUCCAUCGCCCGGAUUAAAUUCGAGGGCGAUCUUGCUCGCCUCUCCUCCUCGCCGGAUUUCUCUCUGGCUGCCGCAAGCGCCCACCAGGCACAUCAAUUCGAUCCUGCUCGCCUCAAAGGGCAUGCUCUCCGCGAGAUCGAUCGCGCUGUCCAGCCGACCCGAUCGCGCCAGGAGAUCGAUCAUGCAGCAGUAGUGCUGCUUGCUCGGCACCAAUCCAAAAUCCAGACUCAUGGACACAAAGCAAUCCCUCCCUUGCUGGACCUUCCCGCCGUGGCCGCAAGCGAUGAGCGCGGACACGAUGCUGACGUCGUCGGGCGAGAAGAGCAUCUUCAUCUGGCCGUACACGUCAGCGGCUAUCGAGCGGUCGGAUUGGACAUACGUGGCGAGAAGUGUGGUCCACGACGCGGCGUCAGUAUCGGGCAUCGUAUCGAACAAACUCUUUAACUGAAACAAAUGCCCUGUAGCGGCAUUUGCUGCCAAGAGGAUAUUCCACGACACCUGGCUGUGAUCUGGCAUAUUCAGGAAUAAUUUUCUUGUGUGCUCUAAUUUGCCUGAUUGAGUGUAUCCGGCCAAGAAAAUAUUCCAUGAAGCGAGGCUCCACUCUGGUAGGCUGUAAAACAUUCUCUCCGAUUCCUCUAGAUGCCCCGAACAAGCAAAUGCAGAAAGCAUAGAAUUGUUAGAAAUGAUAUCUUUGGGCAGAAUUUUGUCAAAGAAGUCCUUUGCGGCUUCAAGAUUUCCAGUUUGAGUGUAAAGAUUUAGCAUCAAUGUCAAAGAGACGUUGCUGUGAGCAGGCAUUUGAUCAAAAAAAGAUUUUGCCUUGCCAACAUCUCCACUUUCGGCAUAGCCAGAGAGCAUGACGUUCAUUGCCACCAGAUUUCGUUGUGGCAUUUUGUCAUAAACCUCAAUAGCUUUGACAAGAUCAUUCUCUCUUACGCAAAUUGUAAGAAUUGACACCCAGGAGAUUAAAUCCGCCUCUGGCAUUUCCUUGAAGAACGCUUGCAUCUGAGAAAACACUCCCAUAUGAAUAUGCGCUCCAAGCAUUGCGUUAAAACACACAAGAUUCCACUCAGGCAUCACAUUAAACACUUGUAUUGCAUUGCUUAAAUCCAUCACCACGACAUAAGCCGUGACCAUACACGUCCAUGACACGAGAUUCCUUUCCGGCAUGGCUUCAAAGAUCCUCUCCGCUUCCCGAAUAUACCCAAUCUGGGCAUAUGCGUUCAAGACACAAGUCCAAGAGAUUAGAUUCCUUCCAGGCAUCAAGGCAAAUAUCUCUUCCAUUGCCGGAAUCAAACCCUCUCGCGCAUAUGAAGCCAAUAUUCCAUUCCAGGAAACCAUGUCCAGCAGAGGCAUGACAUCAAAUAUCCUCUUCGCAUAUUCCAGAUGCCCAUUUCUGGCAUAUGCCGCGAAUAUGGCGUUCCACGCCACGAGGUUCCUCUCGGGCAUUCCAUCGAAUAUCCUCCGGGCACGCUCCAAUUCGCCCACCCUGGAACUCGCAGUCAGCAUCGAAACCCACGCGCAUUGUUCUCUUGUCGCUAACACGGAGAGCAUAUGCCCCCCGGCAGGACGAAUAUGCGCCACCUUUUAAAUCCCGGUGCCACCCGCACGGGUGCACGCCGGGAUCCGUGGCAGGAUCCGCGGCGAUGCUCCCAUGCCCCGCAUGGCCAUAGAUAUAUCCCGCAAUGCCCAUCAUGAGCCAUGACACGACGUCUCAACCAGUCGGCGGUUCAAUCCUCGCUGGGCGGCAUUUAAAAAUAGUCAAGUUCGGAGGGAGAUCAUUUUCAUACAGUUGGAAGAAAGCAAGAAGAACUCUUUGUCUUCCUUCAACACCGAAGGAAGUAAACAAUGAAACCAAGCAAGGAAGAACUUCGAUCAAUCAGUCCAAUCCCAACAACGAUCCAAUUUCUUGGAGAAUAGAAUUAGUUGGCUUGAUUUGUCAAAAUGCCCGGGAAAGGGAUUUUGGGGUCACGCACACGUGUGCCCAGCGCACGUACAUGGGCUGUUGGUGGCUGGCAUUGGGAUUUAUGACCUAACUUGACCUAAUUUGUAAAGCUUUGUCGCACACGUGGGCCACCCGGCCGCUUGGUCCGCCGAUAAUCUUUCUCUUUUGAAAUGAAUAGAUUGAUCGCGAGCGAGCGAACCGCAUGUGUUGUAACGUGCAAGUUUUACUAUAAUCUAUGUAAUUUGAUCAAGCCAUUCAUUUGACGCGAUAGACAAAACAAAUAUAUGCCAUCUUGACUAGUCCAAGAUUCUCGAGCUUGUGAAUGUAUUGCUAUACUAAUAUAUAUUUUAAGGUCUCACUAAGAAGCACUACUAUACUAAUCGCGAUAAAUUUAAUCAAGACAUGCUCUUGACAAUGUUGGAGGGCGGGAAUAUUAACAAGACCCCAUGCGGUGGACACGCUAACGUGUUGUUAACGAUCUCCAGAGCUGCGGGGCAACGAAAGGAUGCGUAGAUUAUAGAGCUCCAUGCGUCCAAGUCAUCGGCAGCGAUGAAAGUCUUGGAAUCUCUCAACAUCUUUCCUUGGGCAUUGAAUGUGCGCCUUGCAUAGUUUGCGCCCUCGCGAUUAAACAAGACGUCCUCGCGAUCAAACAACGAUACUGGCAAAAAAAUUGCUACUUUUACAAAGAUCAUGUGAUCGCUGAUUUUAAGUGUCUCUUUCUUUUCCAGCAAGAUUUUCAGAUGUAUAGGAGAGCGUCCCGGCUCAUUAUAUAUGAUUUCUUCCUCCCCACACACAACACGGCUCAAUCAAUCACAGGGACAAAAAGUAAACAGUAAAAUAGUGGACUUUUUACCAACAGAUGCGGUACAAGGCUACAGGCUAGCCCAGAUAUCUACGUGUACUCGGAUCAAGGAGGGUAAAAACCCAAAAGUGCAUGGAGAGUGAAUGCCUCUCUCUCUCUCUCUCUCUCUUAAACUCUCCCCAAGUUAAAGAGUGAACCGCUCACGUCACUGAAGAGGCGCGUAUGAAAAUACGUACGCGAGAUGUCUAGCGUAGAGAUGGAGAUGGGUGGGGGAUCGAUCAGAAAUUUGGCAAUGCCAGCAGGUGUUCUUCGGGAGUUGUGGAUGCUGUCGGUAGUUCCAUUUGGACCGGCCUUGUGGACGUGGGGCGGCCAGUCCAAUCCCACUUACUCUCUUCUCUCCUCCAUUUUUUUUUUCUCAGUUUUUUAAUGGUAUUUAUAUAAUAAAUAAGUUAUGCGGGAUGAGGGUUACGGGGUAUAUUCUUCCGGGGGGCGGGAGGAAUAUACCGCGCUCUGGCCAAAAGCCUGGGUUUUUGGGGUCAGGCUGGGCGAGUGAGAGAGCGUAUGUUGAUGCCCGUGUGCAGGUGCAACAGCAGACAAGGCCAACUCCGCGCAUUCAAAAGGUGGACACACACGCAACUUUUGCCCGUGCUCUCACCACACACAAACAAAAAAAAAAAAAAAAAGAAGAAGAAAAAGAAAAGAUAUUUAGGGAGUUUUUGAUCUCUAAAUUCGUUGUUAAAUUAGUUUUGUCAAUUUCUCUAGAAACUUGAAGAAUAGUGAUGGUUUCCUUUUGAAAUUGCUUGCUCAAAUUCAAAGCCGUAAGUGAGCUUGAAUGGAUUCCAAUGCAUCAACCACCAGGUGUAUAAUAAAUUCGUGAUUAUGUUGUGCAAGUUUCACUUUGCAGAAGUUGCACAAUCCGACAAUGCAGAUGAUGCGGCCAAAGUAAUCCAAAUCCCAUUCUUGCAUCCAUGCAAUGCUUCCUUUCAAAAUUUACAUAAUCUCUGGUAACCUCCAUUGCAUAUUACCUUUAAGGUAUAGAGUUUAGGGUUUAGGAGUCUAAAUGUUCCGAUUUCACUCGCCAGACAGAAUUUGCCGUGUCGCGGCAUUUGGGCACCAUGUCGGCUGAAACCCUCUGUCUUUUGCGUCAUCGGUUAUCCACAGCCCCUCGUGGCUGCGUCUCUCAGUUAGGGUUUAUCACCUUUAUUUUUAUAUCUUUAGAGCCAGCACUUUUGUUUAUAUAUCUAUCACAAACUUCUGUACAAAUAAGUCUCUGUCUUUGCCAUGUGCUUCCUGCCUGUCUCUCCAAACUUACACCACCUUCUUUUCCCCUCCUCUUUGUCAAUCCUCGCCUUCUUCUUGGGCGUUCUUUUCUUUUUCCCCAGCCGUGGAUCGAUCCAUCGAUUGCGUCUCGAUCUUCCGUGCGGCGAGAGGAUUGAAUGAGGGCACCGCCACCCCGAUCAAAUUCGUGUUCUUGUGAUUGUCCCUUUGGAACCCAAGGAAUAAGUUCUAGCGGAUCAAUCAGUCGAAAGAAAGAGAGAGGUAAAGAGAGAGAGAGAAAGAGGGAAAGAGAGAGAGACAUAGAGAGGAAUGAGCUUUGAGAUCACGAGAUGAUGACGAAGAGGGUUUUCGGGAAAGGAUCUGGGCGUGGCUGAUCGCGAUUAUAAAUGCAAAUCCCAAUGUCGGGGGACAGGGGGGGAUUGGGGGUCGUUUUCUGGGAUCAGCCUCGCACUGGGCCGCGUCGUCACUAGCUAGCUUCACGAAACAAGGCUGUGAAAGUGCCUCUUCUUCUUCUUCUUCUUUCUCUUCUACUUGAAGAGAGAGCUCUUCACUUCACUCCCUUUCUCCUUUGGCUCCUUGCUCAGAGCUUUGCUCGGCCAGAAGAAGAAAGAACACGAGGAAACGAUCAAUCCCAGGCCUAGUGGGACUGGAAAAAGCGAGGGUGUAGAGAAAGAUCGAUCGUGCAUUUGGGGGAUUUCGUCAGGAGCUUGCCUGAUAGAGAGGCUCUGCGUUUGUUCUUGUGCCUUCUUUCCGCUCGAGGAGCUACCUACAUUGGCUGCGAGGAGAUUGGGAGGGAGAUAGAUUGGAAACAGCGGUCCUAUGGAGGAUAGGGAGAUGGGGCCUGUAGAACGCACACGAAAAUGCCCCAUCCUGGAGCACCACCAACAGGCGAGUAGCAGCAGCGGUGGAAGCUUUGGAUUUCCAGCGUCGCCAGUGUGUUCCCGGCUCAAUCUCUUGCUCCUCAUCAGCCUCGCGUCGCUGCUGCUCCAGGUUCCCGGUGCCUACGCCACCCGAGAUUUGGAUCAUCGCCCAGGUAUACAACACUGCUCUUUCUUCUCGCUUCUCUCGGGCGAUUCGUCGCCAAUCGCGGCCCUCGAGCCUGCCCCGGGCACGAGCACCGCGAGCGGCGAAUUGGGCUGUCAAAUGCCCCCUUGAUUGGCACCAAAAUGCGUGCCAAUUUCGCCCCAGAGCACGAGAGAAAACAGAGCAUCCCCUGUUCUAUGUGUUCUUCGCUAAUUCUUUUCCUUUUGCUACCUAGCAGAUGAUCGAUCUCUCGUGGGCCGCGCCACUUCACUGUCACUCCAGCAAGAAAUGCAAGCGUUGCUGUCCUUCAAGGCCUCGAUCGUCGCGCACAACCCCGGGAAGAGCUCGAUCCUCGAUGGCUGGAACCCUAGCGAUGGCGAUCCUUGCAAGUGGGGUGGGAUCCAGUGCAGCCAGGGCCCCGAGGGCGUCCACGUCACAGCCAUCGAUCUCUCCUCCAACAAUCUCGCCGGAUCCAUCCCCGAGGGCCUCGCCAAUCUCUCCUACCUCUCCUCGCUCUCCCUCGCGCUCAAUUCCUUCUCCGGCCGCCUCCCAGGCGAUCUCUCCCGCUGCUCCAGCCUCGCCGAGCUCGAUCUCUCCAGCAACCAGCUCCACGACACGAUCCCGCCAUCGCUCCUGGACGAGCUGCCCUCUCUCGCCACCAUCAAUCUCGCCUACAACGAUCUCGUGGGCGGGAUCCCCGACGAGUUCUUCUCGCCCAGAUCGUGCGCCAAUCUCCAGGCGCUCAAUCUCUCCAGCAAUCCCGGCCUGGGCGGACCCCUGCCGGGAUCUCUCAAGAACUGCCGCGCGAUCGAGCUCCUCGACGUCUCAAGCUGCAAUCUCACAGGAUCACUCCCAGACGACACGAUCGCGAGGCUGCCGCUCCUCUCCAAUCUCGUCCUCCGCGAGAAUGGAUUCGUGGGCGAGGUCUCGCCGGAGUUCUUCUCCAGCUGCCAGAACCUCGAGAGCCUGGAUCUGGCGCUCAACAAUCUCACUGGAGAAAUCCCCGCCCAGAUCGAGAACUGCAGCAAGCUCGUCAAUCUCGCCGUCUCGGCGAACAGUUUCCACUCCCUGCCGCGGGAGAUCGGCGGGCUAUCGGCGCUGGAGCGCCUCCUCGCGACGCACAACGGGUUCACGGAGCUCCCCGCGGAGCUGGAGCGGUGUUCCAAGAUUAGGGUUCUCGCGGUGAGUGGGAAUUCUCUCUCGGGGCCACUGCCUGGAUUCAUCGCCAAGUUCUCGAGCCUGGAAUUCCUGAGCGUCUACACCAAUCGCUUCGUGGGCGUCGUCCCGGCGUGGCUGGGCGGGCUGCGAUCGCUGCGGCACCUCGACGCCAGCAACAAUUUGUUCACGGGCGAGAUCCCGGUGGAAAUCUCCGGCGCCAGCGAGCUCCAGUUCUUGCUCCUGGCAGGGAACGCGCUCAGCGGCGAGAUCCCUCGCGAGAUCGGCAGCAAGCUCCUCAAUCUCCAGGUGCUGGAUCUCUCCCACAACCAAAUCUCGGGCAGGAUCCCUCCAUCGCUGGGCAACCUCAAGUUCUUGCUGUGGCUGAUGCUCGCGAGCAACGAUCUGGAGGGCGAGAUCCCGGCGGAGCUGGGGAAUUGCAGCAGCCUCCUGUGGCUCAACGCGGCCAGCAAUCGCUUGUCGGGAUCGCUGCCGGAAUCCAUCGCCUCCAUCGGGAGUGGCGUCAAUGCGACCUUCGCGCUCAACGCAAGAACCCUACCGCUCAUCCCCAAGGGCAUGGGCGAGUGCGAAGCGGUCAGGCGCUGGAUCCCCUCCCAGUACCCUCCCUUCGAUCUCAUCUCCACGGUCAUGACGGUCGAGCGCUGCCGGAGCUUCUGGAAUUUGCUCCUCCGCGGGAUCUUCAUGUAUCCUCUCUGCCCCAGCCGCCCAUCCGAGGAAUCCAUGGGCUACAUCCAGCUCGCGAGCAAUCGACUGACAGGACCCAUCCCAGGGACGCUGGAUCGCUGCCGGCACUUGGGGCUCCUCUUCCUGGAUCAAAACAACCUCACUGGAUCCAUGCCCCAGAGCUACUCCAUCGCGCUCACGGGGCUCAAUCUCUCGCGCAACGCCCUCUCCGGAUCGGUGCCGCGAUCGAUCGGCGCGCUCUCCUGCGUGGUGAGCCUGGACCUCAGCUACAACAAUCUCAGCGGGAGGAUCCCCAGCGAGCUCCAGAACCUCUCCAAGCUCAAUCGAUUCAACAUCUCCUACAAUCCAGAGCUCGUCGGCCCAGUUCCAAGCGGCCAGCAAUUCUCCACCUUCGGCCCCAGCGUCUACGAGGGCGAUCUCAAGCUGUGCUCCUCCUCGUCCAACGUCAUGGGGAUGAAGAACCCUAAUUCUUCCCUCCCAUCUUGCGGGAAGCUCGGCGAUGGCGAUGGCGAUGGAGGCGGCGGCGGGGGCGGAUUCCUCCCGCGGAGCUCGCGGAUCGCGGUGGCGACGGUGGUGGGGAUCAGCCUGGCGUGCACGCUAGGGCUGAUCGUGCUCGCACUGCUAGGGUUUUGCCUCCUGGGCAAGGCGGCGCCGCCCGGGCCCGGCGGCGCCGCCAUGGACUUCGUCAUGGUGGGCGGCAAGGAGCACCACCGCCACUUCGCGCCGGAUCACGCCGCCGCCGCCAGCGUCCAGGUAUCGCUCUUCUCGGUGGAGCUCCCCAAGCACCUCACGUACUCGGAUCUCGUCUCCGCGACGAGCAAUUUCGACGAGACGAAUGUGGUGGGCAGCGGUGGAUUCGGCAUCGUCUACAAGGCCAAGCUCGCGGAUGGAUCCACCGUCGCGAUCAAGAAACUCAUCCAGGAGGGUCCCCAGGCCGAUCGCGAGUUCCUGGCAGAGAUGGAGACGCUGGGUCACUUGCACCACGAGAACCUCGUCCCGCUGCUCGGCUGCUCCAGCUAUGGCACCCAGAAGCUCCUCGUCUACAAGUACAUGGAGAAGGGAUCGCUGGACGACUGGCUCCACGAGAAGCCGGGAGGAGCGCAAGCGCUAGAGUGGCCGAUCCGGCUCAACAUCGCACUGGGGAUCGCGAGAGGAUUGAAGUUCCUCCACCACAAUUGCUCGCCGCCGAUCGUCCACCGCGACAUGAAAGCUAGCAACAUCCUCCUGGACGACAACUUCGAGCCGCGGCUCACGGACUUUGGGCUGGCCAGAGUUCUUGGAGCGCAAGAGACGCACGUAAGCACGGUGGUGGCCGGGACGCUGGGCUACGUACCGCCGGAGUACUGCCAGACGUGGAGGGCUACCGCGCGGGGCGACGUUUACAGCUUUGGCGUGGUGCUACUCGAGCUCGUCACCGGGAGGAGGCCCAUGUCCAUCUCGUUUGGAGGCGAGAACAAGGAUCACGGGUGUGGGAACUUGAUCGAGUGGUCGGCUUACCACGUGAAGAAGGGGAUCGCGGCGGAGGUUUGCGACCGGAUCGUGCUGCGCUCGGCGGCUCCCGGGGAGCUGCUGGCGUUCCUGCGGCUGGCGGUGGUGUGUACCGCGGAGCUGCCCAUCCGGCGGCCGACGAUGCGGGAGGUGCUCAAGGUUUUGGAGGAGAUCAAGGCGGGGAACUACGCAGCGAUGCUGCAGGGAUCAUCGCAGGGGGGUCACCAGUUUCGGUGAAAGUGUAUGGUUUUAGAUCGAGCAGGGCUCCCGGUUCUAGACGAUCAAUCAGAAGACUCUACGAGGCAGGUUUGAUGAUCGAGCUCUUGGAGAGGGAUACCUUCUUGGCUUCCAUCUCUCCCGGAGAUCAAACUUUAUCUCCCAGUAACAGGCAAAGAUCGAGCUGGAUCUCCUAAUCGGAUCGAUCGAAACAAGCUAUGGGAAGUUUGACCAUUCCUUUCCGAGUGGAAAGAAAGGUGGCGGAUCCAACAGACAGUAUAUAUCAACAGGACGACGGACGCUGCAGCAUUUAGAAGUUGACGAGACCAGUAGAACCAACACCAACUUGAAUGACAACUUCUACUACUUGGGCUUUUAAGAGUGUUAAAUUUAUAAUCCAGGGAAGAUUUGUAGACAGUUCCUUUUUGUCCUUCGCUUUUUUCUCUCUUUGAAGCUCGAACCCUGCAAUGCUCUCUUGGUACGAAGAACAGAAACAAAAGAAAAGGAAAAAACACUGACACGGUGACUCAAAAUCAAGAGAGCUCGAGACGAGCGCCUGCUCACUAGUGCCCAAGAUCAAAGUUACAAUCUUUGAAAAACAGCAAGUUACGAAGAACUGGGAGACGAAGCUCCUCCAAAUCUUUAGUCCAGCCGGUCGUGCAUAAACCCCGCUUUAGCGAGUUUCUUCUUGUACAGCUGCACUCUGACAUUCACCUGUGGAGCUUCUGCACCCGAUAGCUGCCAAAUCCAAUAGCUCGUCUCAUCCUUCCUCGUUGCUAUUCCCAAGUAGCCGUCUGUCAACAAGCCAUAUCAACACGUAAUUAGCACACAAACAAACAAGAACCAUUGAAAGACAUAAACAAGAAACACUCACCACGAGAGAAAACAGCACCCCCAUCAAGUUUUGCUCCACUGCCGACACCGAGAUGAGCAAACUUUUGCUUGUAAAUGUCCGCAAUCUUCAGGCCAGAAGGAAGCUCCACCCACUGCAUUUGUCCCCAGUGAGCUUCCAAGUCUCCAGCCUCGUUGCAACCGAGUACUACGUGCUCGCCAAGGUCACGAGAGAGCGUAUCCACGCAUGUGAUGCUGGGAGUGAUGCGGUCUUCCGUCACAAGCACUCGCGCUCCUGCUGCUGGAUCGCCACACAUCUCAUAGGCCUUAAGCACGUAGCCAACAGUACUCUUCUGCUGGGACCUGGGGAACUGGAGUUCAAGUCUCUGAAAAUCUGCCAAGCCGUCUCUUGCCACCACCACACAGGCAUUCCCGCCGAGAUGGACUGCUAGAUGGCCAUACUGAUCGAAUCCGACGACAGCUUCAGCUUUGGCAGCUUUCCAGAUGCGCUCCCAUCCAGCAUACCACCCAUCCACGAUCUUCAGGACGGGUUCUUCCUGCACAAACGAAAAAGAAAAGUCAUGAUCUAUGGUAGAGGAAACCUAUCUAUCUAUCUAUCUGUUGUUUUUGGUCUCGUGGUGCCCAUCUUGAAGCAUGAGACAUAAUGAAUGUACAAAUGCACAAGUGAGAAAACCAAAAGUUCUUACCUUCGAAAAGCCUCCCAAGAUCUCCUCCAAAGAAGGCUGUGGAGGUGGCGCUUGAGACUGGAGCAGCUGCUGGAGCUGCCUGGAGAGUAGCUUCUGCUGGGCAUCAAGCCGUUGAACAUGGUUCUCCAGCCUACGAACAUGGUCUUCCAGCCUAUUCUGCUGCUGAAGUUCCUCUGAAUUAUCCUCCCUUCCUACGUUUAGUCGAAUGUCAUCCUACACAGAAAGAAACAGGGCCCUCGUUAGGGGACAAGAGAGAGAGGACGAAUGGUAGAGCGCAGCGGGGAUGCCAAAGAGAUUCACCUUGAGGAGAACGCCGCCCUCCAUUCGCGCUGUCGCCCAAAACCUAUCCAAGAUAACUUGCUCGUCAACUUUAAAAAGGCAAGGAAAAAUUUCUGACAGCCUUCAAACCCUAGCCAAGAUAACUUGCUCGUCAACUUUAAAAAGGCAAGGAAAAAUUUCUGACAGCCUUCUUUCCAAGUUCCUUGUCACAAAUCUCGCUCGGUGGUUUGAGCGUUUAGCGAUGGCGCGGGUGCGCAGGCUUGCUCCCCAACUAUAUGGGAGAGUUCCACGACAAUUAAACGCGCCAUCUUUGGUUGAACCAGAAACAAAAUCCAUGGCUGUCUCGUCGUCUUUUUCUGCUGCGACCUGCUCAAGCCAUCAGAGCAGCCACGACAGUCCGAGCAUCAGUCAAAAGAUUUGUGACAAGAGAAGAUCCUGGAACUUCUAGCUGGUUCAUAUUAUAAAAUAGAGAAAUAUAACAUACAUUGAAAUUCUUAAUGGCCUCCCAGCAUUCCUAUGAUCACAAAGCCAGACACGAAAACACAGCACUCAUCACCAUCGCUUAAGCCAAUGUUCAUGCCGAUGAGAGCUCCAGAGUCACUAAAAAGCCCACCACCACAUCCAGAAUCACGCAAAAGAUGUCCGGUGUCUCGCCCCCUCCACUUGGUGUCUCGCAAAUCCUCAUUAUACCGGUAGAAAGUAUUCCAUGCCUUACACUGGGAGAUCCACGUCCGGGUAAUAACGGAACUCACCAUUCCUCCUUUUAUAGAGGAUGAUAUCGGACUUGGGAGUGACCGCUUUAACUUUGAGAUCAAUGCUAUCUUGCUCCUCAUCGCCAGCAGUGAGUGCUUGCUUGAAAUGCAAGAUCUCUUCGACUUGUGCUCUUGAGUGUCCGUCGUGCCAAUAUGUAAUCACAUAUUUGGGAGCGAUCACAGUUGCUAGUUCUUGAUCCCCUUCGCCUCCCACGAGAAGAUAUUUCUUACAUCGCUCAACGAAUCUAUUAGCCAUGGAGAACGCACAAAAGAGAUAAGGAGAAAACCUUGUGAGAAUGGAACGGAGAAGAAGCAAAAGAGCCAAGUAGAAACUUGUGAGAAUGGCAAUGAGAAGAAAAAAGCUACUUAGAAAAAGUUGAAGCAAAUAGAAUGGAAAUGAGGAGCAAGAAAGCUAUGAAAAACUUGUAUUUGAAAUUUGAAAGUCGUGUCUAUGUAACAAAACAUCAAUGAUGCACAAUGGAAAACAUGCAAUCAAGAAGGACGUAGAGUGCAAGGAGAUUCAGGGCAGUUUCGAAGAAGGGGUAGAAGAAGCCGCAAAAAAGAAAAGGAGGUGCAAUAGGACUUUGGGGCUGCCGUUGAUCUACACUGGGAAACAAUAGAUAGACAACGUGGGCAUCACUGAGAUCUACAAGAUCAUCACAGGAGAUCCAAAGAGCACACAGCUAAAGUUAUGGUGCUCACUUGGUGCUAUGCAGCUUGCGUCUCAACUUCGAAAAUGAGACAAGGAAGGUUGAAGGGUGGUAGACAUGCAACAAUGAAAUCAUCAAGAACUGCAAUAAGCUUCUCUCAAAAAAUGGUAGAUGACAAAGGUUGGAUCUCAACAGUAUACUCAAAGGAGGACACUUAUAUUAUCUUUUAACAGAUCUGCACAUCUAAACUCAAUGUUAUCUAUCUGGAUUGACUGGCAUGACCCAGCCUUUGGGACAAGAAGAAGGGGCUAAAUCCCAUCCUCACCUCACAAAGUAAGUAAAAUAAUGCAAUUCCUCUCAUAUUCAGUUAAAUUACUAUUGCGGCACAGCUCAUAUUCCCUAUCGGUGGGUGAACAAUUCAGCACUUCGUGAAUUUUGCUUCACAAUGAUAGGAAGAGUUGAUGUUGAAAGAUCAAAAAGCAAUGCCACUAUGAACACUUGGCUGCCACAAGCAAAUUAUCCAUAUGGUAACUUUUUUAACACCUCUAGAAAUUCAGAAACAUUAGAGGAUCAAUAGGGCAUGCUUUCACAUGUAUCUAUGCUGAAAAUCAAAAUCAAAUGAGAUUUUACUAAGAUUUCUAACAACAAGCUUUGAUUAGUGAAAUCUCAACAAUGACUUCUUUGAUUUUUGCAAUGAGGAAGUUUUAUCUUUAUUUGACAAGGAGAAAAACUUGCUCCAAAGGUAAGAAAUCAGCUCUGAUUUCUCAUGUGCUGCACAACCCCAGAGAAGGGGGUCAUUUUAAAUAUCUUUUGUGGAACAGGAAAUACCUUGAUUGCAGCUGCAAACAAUGGUGGACACAUUCUGACCCUGGAGUGUGAUGCAACAAUGAUCCUGCAGAUCAGAAGAAGUAAACUGAAAAAUGAAGAUAUCUAGAGCAAGGAAAACAAGGGAAAGAACAUGAAAACAACACCCCCCAAAGGUUUUGACAA